rnacentral:lncRNA from 1 species
UCAAAUGUUGCACUGACGCUCGUUCUCCGUACCAUUUUCUUCUGUAUCCAAAAGGACCAUCAUCAUGUUUCAAAUGUUACAGGUUACGAUUUGCAAGGUUUGUGAGAGUAGGAUCUAGUACUUGAUAAAGUUCACAGCAACAAAUACACUUCGCUAGAGCACCUCACGGGUUCAUCCCAAAUAGGUGUGCUCGACAAACAAAUAAUACGCUACAUGUGAUUCAGGUACGCCCGUCUCAGCUACAAGACUGGUGACUGACUUCCGGCCGGGUCAAGGAGGCUACACGCACACAAGCUGCAGCAAAGCCUUCCAGUACCUGGAGCAAGACGGGUUCUGGUGUAUCGCCCUCAGAAGCCACGCCCCGGGACUCUGCAUCGUCUCCACCAGUUGCAGUUUCUUCUGCUGAGGACCUACCGCAGUCGACUGGCUCGCCAGCAGGUGCAUUUGGAAGUAGAGCUCAGCAGGCCGCAGUUCUGCGCGAAUCGAAACCAGGAAACAAUCAGAUAAAAUGAAAUGAACGUUUUAUCUGAGUAGUGCUCUUUGGAGCUCUGAGCUUCAGUUUCAGACCUGGGGGCCAAGAGAACCACUCGAGGCGAAGGUUCUUCUCCCACUUGGCUUUGGAGCCGAGGCUGCCUUCUGCUUGGGCCAGUAGGAGUGAUAUGAUGGGUACGGCAGCUUGAGACUUCUGCUGUGCCUUUCUGAGGCUCGAAGCUGCGCGGGUUAUAUACUGAGGAGCUGCAUACCUACGGGCAAUCUCCAUAUGCAUAGCUCCUGCCAGGGUGAUUUUGAUUCAGUAUACGGUGAGAACAUAGAAAGAAGCAAACUCAUCUAACUAAUGUUGGUCCCACUCGCUAUCGCCCCUUCUAAGUUUCUUAAGGAGAUUGCGGGAUACUGUGAUCAUGAUGUCUACUGGAGAUAACAGAACAAUCGAGUAGAAAAUUCAACUCCACAUAAGAAAUAACCAAAAAAUGUUUCAGGGAAAACUGACAAUUAAAAUAAGCCAACCAACAAACAGAACAAACAACAAACUGGCUUACCAUUGAGGAAUAAGAUGCAGCUAUCAGCAUCCUUUUCAGCACAUGCUUGUGCAAGAGCUUUUUCAGCACUUGCAAAGUCCUCAUCCCGCAUAAAACACUGAGCACAUGCUAGAUUGAAAAGAGCAGCCCAUUUUGAUGGGAAGCUACCAUUCCUUUCAAUGCAUUCUUUCAGAUUUAUCUCUAUUUCAUCAGAGCCACGGUUCACUAAACAUAAAGAUUCAAGUUGCUUGAGCGUUACCCAGCCAACCUCAGUAUUCGUGCGGUUCUGCAAGCAUUUCAUGUAUUCCUUCCUGGAGUUCGAAAGAUCGCCUUGCACCACAUAAGCCCGACACAGUUGCAAGUGUGCAAAGAAAGUAUCCACACUCGGAGGAGCAACUCUUAGAGCAUCUGUAACUUGAGCGAUGCCGUUUUCAUAGUCAUCAGAUUGCAAACUAACCUCUGAAGACAAAAGAAGUAGCAAGUACUUCUCAUAAAGGAUGAGUUUAUGCUCUUGUGAAUUGCUACUGCUGGACAUAAUUUGUAAAACCAGCCUCUUCAAAGUGGCACAAAUAUGUUUGGGGUACUUCUCUUCACGUGCUUUCUGGAAAAUAGCAAGCACAAGCAAGUAGCGUGCAUCUUGGUUCCAUGGUUCUUGAUGGACCAACCUUCAAAUGAAGUUACAUCUUAGUUUGCCAACCAAAGCCAAGUAAGUAUAAUGUUGUCAAUGUCGUAAGUUGGAAAAAAAAACAUACCUUUGCAGGUUGCAUAUUCCAUUGUAUUGGCUUAGGUACUGGUCUUCACAUGUUGGGAAUGAGAACUUUGGAUAAGAGGUGCAGGUAGCAUAGCAAGACAUUGUUGCACAAGCUUGAAUUUGAUGCGGAGACCUUAGGCCCCUAUUGGAUGUGUGCCCAUGGGACAACGAAGUAACCCUUACUGCUUUGUGAGAAGCAGUCCAAUCUCCGCUCGACAGCAGCAGAGAUCCAAGAUGGUUUCUGCAGCAUGCAACGAAAGGCAACAUUAUGAUCGAUAUAGUCAUAGUCAUGGUUUAUUGUUCCAGGGAAGAUGUUACCUUACUAAACUGCAGUCAGGAUACAUGUGUAGAACCUUUUUCAGGUAAGACAAACCACCCUCGGCCCCUAAACAGUUGUUUGAUUCCCCACCAAUCUACAAGUGAAAUUUAAUCUAUAUUAUUACAACUAGCAUACAACCAAAAAAGGAAGAAAAAAAAUCCACCUAGUACCAAAAAAAAUUAGGGUACUUACUGCCUUCCCCAGAGCAAUAUUUGAGUGGACUUCACUCAUCACGUCAUAGGAUGUAAGUCUAGGAGGCGUACUCAAGUGAGGUAACUGAAAACGCUUGCUUGGCUGCAAAGCAUCUAAUGCAGAGAUGAUGAAUUUCAACUCUCUGUUAUAACUGGGUUGACCAGGGAGUGUAUGAAUGACCGAAGCUGCAGAAUCCUUCCCAGCUAUGUUGUAUGCUAAGGUGCAUAUGAAUCCCAAUGCCCCAGUUGCGCUCUCCUGCUUCAUAUUAGAUAAGUUUUCAGCCAAGUUUCGUGAUAUAGAAAGAGCUUCAUCAUGCCGUCCAAGUUUCCACAAUGCAAGAGCAUAUACUUGCAAUCCAUCAACGUUCAGCAGUCCUAGAAAUUUGAGAUGACUUGUUAGUGUGUAUGUUGUAUAUAGCAUGUGCAAAAUAAAUUGAUAUAAUAAUAAUAUAAUAUGCUUGUCAUGCAUGUUUGUUCAAUUCAUAAGAAAAAUAGGAAAUAUAAGCCUUCAGUUGCUUGAAGUGGAAACUAAACAGACCUUGUGUUUUCAACUCUUCGCACUCGCGCACUGCAUCAGUUGCAAGACCAGCCUGCGGUCAAUGUGAUGAUUUUAAUUAAAGAAAUGGAAGUGCUUAUGGGGAAUUAAAGGGAUAAACACCUAACUAUAAGAUUCAUAAGUACCACACUAGGAACAGCAAGCUUAUUACAGAUACACAAGUCACAGUACACAACAUUUUUUUAGAUUUACAGUAAACAGCAUGAUUUAAGCUUCUUGCUCUGAAAUAAAUAAUUCUAUCAAACCAUAUGAUAGUAUUCUUACCUUACAUAGUGACCGAGCAAGAUUCACUGAAACAUCAACAAAAGGAUAUCUAUUGUCCAACUUGGAUCUGCGCAUCAUGCCUAAAGCAAAUUUCGCAUGUUGGUAAGACGUGAUUGCAGAUUGAAAAUCUGAUCGCACUUCAGAGACCAAGCCAUUUAUAUUGUGUGAUUCUGGGUAAUGAGGCGCUCGCUGAACAGCCUGUCUUACAGCCAUUAGUACCUACACAACAUAAAGCAUUGCCUAAGAAAGAUUACAUAUACAUAACCUGGUGCUCUAAAUACCCAAACCCAAGCACUAAGUUAUGUAGGCAUAGGUAUAAACAUGUGCCUAGUGAAACCAUCUGCAGCACUAACUUGGUGACAAUGCCAACAAUUCAACAACACUAUGAUGUAAAGAUGAGACCAUAUAAUAACUGCCACCAGGUUAAACGGGCUGCUUUAAAAAAACAUCACUUCAUUUGGAGCAUGAAGUGGCCAAUAUUUACUUCGAAAUUAACUUUCAACAACACCAGAAAAUGAAAUUGAACAUACCUGAGGUGACAUAAGUUCACCGGAACGAGCUGCAAUUGUUCCAAGGCCAAUCUGGAACUCUGGCAGCUAUGCAAAUAUGACAUGAGAAUGAGAUAAAACUAAAGUAAGGAAAUAACUAAGCAAAAACUCAGUAAAUUGUACAUACAGGUAGUAUCUGCACAGCUCUCAAGCAACUUUCAUAAGACUCGUUUACUGCACCAGCCCUUUAAGAUCAUGCCAAAGAUUAAAUCAGUGUAAGCAAAAACUGAGUGCAGUAGUAUAGGGGCCUUUUUGACUUUCAGCGAAAGAUGUAGGGGGUCGUUACCUAGAUUGGUGAUCGUUUUCUGCCGACAUUCCAGCCCAUGGCAAGGCCAACGAUGGAUCAAUGCUUCGAGCUCGAUCAAAUGCUUGUCUUGCCAAUUGCUUGUGACCUGAUUGUCUGUAAAUCUGAAGGUCCAACUAUUAGUUACCUUCCUACUAGUAAAAAGAGUCAAACAGGCAACCAAUAACUGCAUAAAUAGCAGUACCUUUCCAAGGUAUGCCCAAGCUUCAGAGAGAGACGUAUCCAACUGCAGUGCCCUGAUAAGAGAAUGCUGCUUUAAAGCCUGAUUACUUGAGACUGAACCCAAUGUAACCCAGAAAUCCUUAUUAACUGGUUCCAGCAUCAAACCACCCAAUGACAUUUUUUCUGGAAGCUCCCUGUUGUACAGAAAACAUAGUGUGUCAUCAGAAAUCUCCCAAACAAAGCUAGCAUCUGAUGAGCAAAGAAGUUUACCAAACAAUGGGAUCUACAGAGUUAUUCUCCUCCAUGGUACAAAUGAGAUCAAGACAAAUAGCAGUAUCAAUGUGAAUAUUAGCUUCCCAAGGAGUGAGGUGCAAAGCUCGUUGAUAUGAGAGUUUUGCACUAUUUGCAGCUGACAAACAUGUAUUUCUCCACUGAAGGACGGAAGCUUUGAAAUUUUGUUCAUCCAUGCCCCUCUUAAUAUGCCUAUCCUCCCACGGAAAACACCUUGCAAGUGCGAGCUGACAUAAAAUGUGAGACAUAUGAUUGAAUACUUCAAGUUAUAAGGUGCCAAGUAAAUUUAAGUGAUCAAUUAAUGGUAAUAGAGGUACCUGAGUAUCUGCAUGCAAUUUCCAAACACAGGAAAGGUUUCCAGCCAAGGAAGUGCAAACUUUAGCAGUUUCUGAUGCUUCCUACAUUAAACAACACUCAGGUGAUACAUGGACAUGAAAUGCUAUUGAUUCAGAACAAAGUAUCAUAUACCAAAAUACCUUCAGCAGAUUAGCUGCCCAGGUAAAGGCCCCAAUAGUUACACAAUGCUUUGACCACGCAAGCAAUGCCGAGGCAAGUCCAAAGUAUGCAGAAUGAUUAUGAGGAGCCAUCUCCACGGCAGAACGGAACUGUUCGACUCCCUAAUAUUGUGUAAAGUACAAUAUCACAGAAGUUAUUACCGGUAGCAGCAGCAGAGUCAUAGAUGCUUAAAUUGGUCUUUGCUAAUCAAAACCCAUAGGUAUCCAACACAACUGAAGGUUCAUUAGCUGAAAAAACUUCCUACCUUUCUGAAAUAGCCAAGCAUUAGCUGGAUGUUUCCACUUUCGAUCAAAGCAAAGACCCGGGAACUAUCAAGUUCAAUAGCUCGCCCAUAUGACUGCCAACCAAAACUGAAGUAAGCAUAUUCAGAAGACUCACUACAACACUAAAUUGUUUAUGAUUGUCGAAAGUGAAAACAGCACACCUUUACUGCAGCAGUAAACAUGCCCAAACGGUGGUAAGCCAGACCAAGUGCCUAAUACCAAAUAUGGAAUGUUAAACCAAAUACAUUGUAAAGACAGAACGAACGUAUGACUUGGGUUUCAUCAACUUUGACAAGGAAAUAUAAGGAAAUAAAACACGCACCUCCCAUAAAUCCGCACAUGUUGGGUAACCUCGUAUUGAGUGUUGAAGGCUCUGUAUAGCAUCUGACCACUUCUUUUGAUGAACCUAAAUUUGCCAUAUCGUGUCAAUACUUACCAUGGAUAUGUUCCGUUAUGCAGUUUACAGAAAAGAUAAUCACAAGAAAACUGUUAACAAAUUAUACACACAAGCUUAACCUUAUCAGUUUAAAGUAUAAACAAAGAACAUUCGUAGCUCCUUGAUUCAAGAAAACAAAACAACGCAAUUGUUAAAGCCUAGAAAGGGCUGUAAGCCUAGUCAUUGAAGGAUAGACAGGCAUAACAAGAUCUGAAAUAUCUCUAGGGUCGGAACGAAAAAGGGGUUGAGCACCAGGAAGGAACAGUCACCCAAAGGGCCAGACUGCCAAAUGACCUGGGGAGAACCCUCUGAACUGGUCAAUUAAAACGAGCAGGUGACGCAUGUGAAGCAGGCUCCCAAAAGGCAUCAGAACAUUUGAUAUUUUUAUGAUAAGCGCAUUUCAGACGACUGUUUUACUGCUGCUUAGGAACUUGUUUUGUUUUAUACUUCUAUUGACGCAGCAGCGCAAAUUUUUUUUAGAAAAGGUGAAAAGGACAAGCCAGUACCCCAUUGUUUUACUCUAUGUACCUUGGUAAGCCAGUAUGGAAGUAUGCACUGCCCACAUGUCUUUGCAGUGAUGUACUGAUGUCCACUAGAGGCACAAUUGACUCUUCAACUUCCUCUCUAUCAGUAUUGCAUAGUUGGCACCAACUCUGAGCUGCCCUUUCCUAGAAUCAGCCACCUCGACUUUACAGCUUAUACUGUGCCUUCAAUUCACUUCAGCAAAACCAACUGGUGUGCUAACUAGGUUCAAUUGCCCCAUGGCAGUACUUAAGAUUUCAGACCAAACAUAAAACGAGGGUUCUAUUUACUCUUUAGUUCCACCAUUUGUAAUCUCCUGAUGUAUUGACCAUCUAUAGUUUUAUGAAUCUGCCUAUGCACAUUAUUUUUGCUCUUAGUUUAGUAUCUAUCUAUAUAGUGUACUGUGUAAGAGUAAAUAUGGAUAUUGUGCGUUGACAAUGGCACGAUGCUACAUCCAAUGGUCAAGAUCGGGCAAAUCCUGAUGUUUAAAACCCUUGGAACAAACCCUUAGUACACCAGAUCAUGUCACGUUGUAUUUCAGGAUGGUAGUUACACAGAACAUUCACCAGCAGGAGGCACUACUGUUUGGAUUAUAUCGGCCCAUACUUGCAUAGAGAUUAGGGAUUUCAGUAUCACUGUGCACAGAUGGGGCUAAUUAAACAUACUUGUAUAUAUAAAACAUACUGAUGCAUAUUUAUUUUUUACCAUAUUUCUAAUCAUAAAAACGCUACGUGAAGUCACGUGUAUUUUGCCUAUAAUAAAAUUGAGGAAUAUAACACACACAGCAACAAGUAACAACAAACAUUACUUGCAGAGUUGUACAUCACCUAUUCAGCAAUAAGUACCAAACUUAAUCCUGAAUGACCUAUUGCUGGUGGAUUUUGCUUAUCAGCAGUAUGGAUUUUGCUUAUCGGCAGUAUGUACUCCGUAUUCGAUUAUCCCUCACUGUACAUGAGAUGAAAAUCUGUACCAUAAAAGGAAAAUUUAAACCAGCAGUACUGAGGAGUGAUCCCUGGUCGAACAGUUGACUCAUUGAACCAAGACCUUAAGCAGUUUGAUGACCAGGCUGAUUAUACCUUAACUAAACCUAUACAGCAUACCUAAGAAACUACUGCAACAAGGUCAUUGCGAUGGUUCCUACUGAUGUAGUUCCUGCUAAACAUCUUCUGUUAUUAUCAGAUAAUUUCAUUAUGCUAUCACACCUACAAACCUCGUCGCUGAUUUAUAGAAACAUAUUAACAGAGAAAAAGAUUAUUAAAAAUUCUUGCUUCCCUAUCUAAUCUCUACAGGACAAAGGCCUGAAGUUCUCUAUAACUAAUGCCUAUUGGCUUAGCUUCCAUAGACUCAAAAUUAGGAGGUUCCGGCCCAAUUCAAAUGUAUCCACUCAAUCGAAAUGAAUCCUUCAAAUUUGCUCAUGAUGUUGCCAUGAUCACUUCAUCAAGCAAUAGAAAAUGAGUAAAAGCAGCUGUCACUCGAGUGCACCUGCAAGUAGCCGAGUCUCCGGAAGGCCCAAAACGCGCGCGGUGACUUGCCGGCAGCCUCCUUGCACACGGCGAGCUCCAGGCUCUCCUUCCCCUCCGCGUCAAGCAAAUCGCAGAGCGCCUCCUGCACUCACCAGCCAGCAGACAGAAACAGGCCGCAUCAAAAACACCACCGCGAGCAAACCAACCAACCAACAAACGACUUCAAUGCACACACCCCGGACUCGGCGUCGUCGGGGUCGAGCGCCACGGCCCGCUCGAAGCACCUGGCGGCGCGCUGCGCGUCGCCGGCGCGGGCGUAGUGGUGGCCGAGGGAGCGGAAGGGCCCGCCGUCGUUGGGGUUCAGCUUGGCGGCCGCGAGGAGGCGCUCGGCCUCCUCCUCCGCGCCCUGCUUCGCCGCGGGGGCGGACAUGGGGGCCGGCGGGUGGGCGGGCAGAGCUGAACCCUCGGAAUCUCGUGCUGCGGUGCUGCUGGUACUCCGCCGAGCAGCAGACGAAUCAGCGGCAGACUGGGUGGGCUUGAAGGAUGAAUGAAUCCGAGUUAGUGGAGCGGAGGAGGAGGAGGAGGCUGAGGGAGGGAUUCUCUUCGGGGCGGUGGUGCUCCGGUGGAGGGCGGAGAGGGUUAGAUGGAUGGCCCCAUCGGAGGGGAGGAGGGAAAGUAAAAGCACUGUUGGAACUUGGGCCAGGAACUUUAGGCCCAGGUCAACCGAACGAUGGCCCGCUGGACAUAUGAUGUGUGGACAGAGUUCUUCAAAAGGAAGUGAUAAUUCUCAAAAGAAAAAAAAGGAAGUGAUGUGUUUCCCAAAAAAAAGGAAGUGAUGUAACCCUGAAAAAAGUGAUGUGUGAAUAGAGUAAUUAUUUGAGGGAGCUAUACUUUGCCAACCUUAACUUUUGUUUAGGGCUGAUGUAACAACUUACGUCAUCUCUAGCCCAUCCAAGAGUUAAGUAUCGAGACAAAUAUAUGCUAACCCAACAAGUCAAAAUUUAACGAAAAGGGAAAGAAGAGCAAAUGAAAACACGAUAAACGCCAAAGUUCUUAAGUAUCUUUCAGGAGGAAGCAAAAAAAUCAAAGAAAGAAGAAAAGAGUAGGCCUUGCGGAUAUGCUAAGAUUACACCUAUCUUUAUAUGAUCCGAAACCAUUUCAUUUUCUUAAUUUCUCACAGUAGUUCCCUUCCAUCAAAACCAGUAAAUGUGAGCCAUCGCUGGUAAUCUUUUGUGCCAUAUAUAGUGCUACCAUCUAAAAUAUAUAUAUAGUUCUACCAAUUGUCAGAGUUCCUCAAUGCCAAUGUGGGACAGGACCAACACUAACAAAUUAAUGAUCAAAUGAUAAUCACGAUGGAUCUUUUUUUCCAGAGAGCAUGCAAUGAACUAAGCCAAACUGGUAUAUUCAUGUUCAAUUGAUGGCACAGUUACAUAAAUCAUUUGAGAAGCUACAGGCAUAUGCAUCAUAAUGUGUAUGGAAAAAUCAUAAUACAAAUAUCAUUGAUAUACACCCAAUAAAUUAACUACCACAUUCAGCAUACAAUCAAAAUGGGCUAAAAGGUUUUUGUUUUUUGUUUCUUGAGAAAAAGGCAACCAAACAUGGUUAAGCCACCCACACAAUUUGUCUUCUAUUUUCUCCUUGUGCUAACUCCAUCGACCAUAUGUCUAUCAAAUGUGGCGAGAUUUUGUCUAAAAUAGCCGUAUGGUUGAGAGAAACUUGGUGUUUUUGUUUCAAGUUUAAUUUUUUGAUUCAAAAUUCAACCUGCACAAAAAAUGCAGCAAAUCGAUAAUAAUCCAGCGAUGAUUUUGAUCAAAUUGUAGCUAAAACUGACGUAUGAUGCGAGAGAAAUCUGGUGUGUCAAACUUCUGCCCCGCCCCGAGUAUUCAUUGAUUUAUCUUCCCUUUUAGGAGCAGAUGCUACACGUACAGGGAUAAUCAUAUGGUCUGAUUUUAUAGGGUUAGCUACUAUAAAUUUAUUCUAUAACAAAAUUGGCCCUAAGUCAAAGGAUCAUUGGCCUUUUAUUUGAUUCUCUGUCGACUCACUCGUGCUACUUCGGGGGAAACCCUAAGAUCUGGUAAUCCAGAUCGGACGAUGGCGGUACUGCGGUGUCGUUCCUCUCUUGGGAGCAUCAUUUAUGGAGCAGCGCGGGAAGACAGAGGCAGGAGGUGGAGCGGCUAAGUCUUGCACGGAGCUUCGGUGGAGAUGCCAAGUCAUGCUUGGCCGACAGGUGCUACGCUGUGUCAUGCCUGGUCAGCAGGUGCUACGCACGACAGAUCUUCCAGAGUCUUCGCGUGUGGAUGGACGCGCGCAGGGCGGUGGCUCCGUUGGGCGCCGUGGUGGCGUCGGCGGAUGUCUGGACUAGCAAGGAUGAUGCGGAUCUCUAUCCUGAAGAUGGGUCAGUGAUACGAUGAUGAUGGCGGCUUCUAAAACGUGUGCAUGUGGUGUGCGCCUUUGAUCUGCUGCAUCGGUUGUUGAUUCAGAUAAGUUAUGUGGAUGGAUCGGCAACGACACCGGUUUUAGAUAUGGAGGGUGAGAGCACUCCACGUUAUCGAGUCUGUAGGUGUGAGUGAUGGCUUCGGGUGGCUUGAUGUAUAUUUUUGUCAGACAUUUGUGGAAUAACUUAUAAAGAUGGAUGUAUACGUCCAUUGAUGCAGAGGCCGGGGUCUAACCUCUUUUUUUUAAAGUUACUUUAUAAUUAACAAGUCUGCCCUUUUCGCACGAGUUCUUCAUUGGAUUUGUUUAACUGAACUGAAAAUUCCAGGUCAGCUAUUAUACCCUUUUAAAUCCUUUGAACAAACAGCCUUUGCCAUUUCUUCAUCACUAUAGAAAAAGAAGAGAUGCAGUGUAUGGCACAACCCCAGUUGCACGAACAGACCAGGCAGGAGUUCAGGUUCAGUGUAUGUUGCUCAGAUUCCCGGCAUCUUUUAGCUCCCGCCAUGUAAGAUUCCGGUCGAUCGGAAUUGGAAACCCGGCGACUAAUCCGUGGAACGCAUUUGUUUACGUGAUCACGGAAGGAGCAAGGCCGAGCUCUUCACAACCGAGGCUUGGAUCGAGUUGACCAAUGGCUCCGUCGCGAGGCUAGCUAUACUUGCAGCACGUCGCUGUCGCGCACUGCUGUGCUGCCCCGUCUGGCUUUCUCCUCCCACGGCGACGCGCCACCGUCCCAAAAGUCGCCUACUCAUGCUACAAGGCUACGAGCACAUAGCUGUUGCCGCCCGCCCUCAGCCGCGCGAGACAUCGAGCUCCACGCACGUACGGGGCGAUCGAGGAGGAUCGGCUGGCUAGCUCGGGCGGAGACGACCGGUCGAUGGAGGCUGCGGCGGCGGCGGCGGAGGAGGAGGAGAAGGUGUUCGUCGCGGUGCCGGCGGAGCCCAGGGCGGGGCAGUCGACGCUGGCGUGGGCUCUCCGCCAUCUCCACGGCGGCGCCGCCACCACCAUCGUCGUCAUGCACGUGCAUGUCCCGGCGCAGAUGAUCCCCAUCAGUACGUGCGUUCCUUCCUCGCCACAUCGUCGAACUCUGCUCUCUUAGCUACUGCGGGUCUCAUCCAUCACAUGUUUGGUCCUGUCCUAAAAUCUCAGUGGGGGUCAAGUUCCACGCCGAUAAGCUGAGCCCGGAGCCGGUGCGCGUGUUCAGAAGGGCGGAGCGUGAGAGGGCCGACGAGAUGCUGGACGACUACAUCCACCAGUGCUCGCAAAUCAAGGUGCCAUUCUCGAAAUAAAAGAACUUCCCUUCUUCUCAACAAUUUACACAGUGUCUGCAAAUUCCAGGUGAAAUGCGAGAAGCUGGUGGUCGGGAAGGAAGACGCCGCGUCCGGUCUUGUCGAGCUCAUUCGGCUCCAUGGAAUCACCAAGCUAGUGAUCGCAGCCGCCGCGGACAGGCACUACUCGAGGUAUGAUAUCUGUCGGGGCAGAACUCUGUUUCUUGCACAUACAGACAUGCUCUGUAUUUUAUUUUAUUUUAAUAAAAUUUUGGGUAGGGACAGGGAGCUCUGAAACAUUUAAACUUCCACGUUUAUGAUUUUUCAUAUCCGGUUUCAGAAAGCUCGACAAGCCUGUGUCCAAGACAGCGACAGAAAUAAUGCAGAGAGCUGAUCCAUCAUGCAAGAUCUGGUUCGUCUGCAAGGAGCAGUUAGUCUGUACCAGGUAAACAUUUUCAUCUGAUUUAGCAGCUUUCCGAUUUCUCUUUUUCUUUUUUUUUUGCGAAGAAGCUUUCCGAUUUCUCAUGGCUAAUGGAUUAUGGAUAGCAGAGUUCCAAAAAUCUCUGACUCUCCAACGAAAUUUAUUUCAGCAAACUGACUCAGGUAUCCAUUGCAGGGACAAGGAAGUACAAAUUGCACCAUCAACUGUUGCUGCACCUUUGCUCCCUAAUCUUGGCCAUGAAGUUCUGGAUUUGCAAUCUCCCCAGGAAGAGGUGCAUCAGAUCAUGCAACCACACCUUCUAAUUUCCUUUUUUUUUUGCGGGGCACACCUUCUAAUUUCCAACACUCUUUUUUUUGUUUUGUUUUUUUGCAAAAAUGGCGGGAUUCAUCAUUGUGCUUCUUAAUUCUUUAUUUCGUCUAACCUUUGCAGGGUGACACCGAGAUGGAACCGAGUUUCGACGAUGAACUCGAAGAGGCACGCAAAGCAGUCGAGGAGCUGAUGAGAAGAGCUCUGAAGGAAUCCUGCAGGCGCCAAAAGGCAGAAGAAGAAACAGCCGCAUCUCUCCACAAAGUACAACCGGACCGGAAUUGGAUAUGAGCUUCAGUGCAAGACAAGGCAAAAUUAAGCCUGCAUUGUACUGGUAUUUUCUUCGGAGCUUGAUCGGAACUGUGAACCUUGCAGGCGCAAGAACACGAGGAGCUGUACCUUGAGGAGGUGAAGAAGAGGGAGGAGCUCGAAGCAGCUCUGGCGAGAGCAGACGGAGAAAUCGCGCGGCUACGACAGGCAAUCCAGCAAAAACACGACCGGGGAGGCAGUCACGGCGAGAUCGAUGCUUGAACAGCACAUCGUCGUCACGGGCGACGAUGCGACGAAAUCCAACUUUGGCGCCGCGGCCGCAGCCGGGCGAUUUUAGAGCAGCGGCGGGGUAACCCGGCGGAGCCUUUUCCGUGGUGAAGGGUGAUGCAAUGCCGCAAUGGUGGAAGAGAGCUGGAGGCACCGCCCAGCAAGAGGGCUGGGAAGGUGCCCGAUGAGACGGGGUUCGCCUAGAGUGCCGGUGCGGUCAGCCGCUGGCUCGCGCGCUCUGGGUUUUGCGCCGUGGCAGUGCUCUGUUUCCUUGUGAUUCGAAUGCAGCAGAGGCGGUAUCGUGCGUGACGUACCAAAUUUGUCGUCACUGUACUAAUUUGGGUACCUGCUAGCAAGUACUUCCUCCUUAAAAAAAUAUAAGAGCGUUCGUGAUCUCUUAUAUUUAGGAAAACGUUUCAGGUCGGAGCGCCGGCCGAGCGCUCCACCGGAUGCGUGUGGGACGUGGGAUUGAAUUUGAUCCAACGACCACGAGGUAUCUGCUGUAGGUCCACGGGGCAGCCCCACUCUCCCUUAUCUUCUUUUGCUCUGCCUUAUCUUCUCCCACGAUGAAUUUCUUUCAAAUCCUUUCUCUCAUCCACCUCAAAAUCCAUCUCUCUCUUGCUCCCUCACAAAAUCCGACGAGCUCCGGCCGGCCGUUCUCCUCUUUCCUCUUGGAUCCCCAUCCCCCUCCGGCGACGAGCUCCACACACGCCGCAGCCGCUGCAUCCCCAUCGGCUUUCUCCCCUGGCAGUACAUACGGCUGCAGCUCGCACUGCUGCAAGGGGGCGGGGCCGAGAAGGAGCGGAGUCGCUGUUGUGAGGUUGCUGCUGCUAGCCAUCAACGCCAUGGCCGCCGCCUCCCCCUCAUAUGGUCGUGGUCGUGGCGCUGGAGCAGGCGGUGGAAACGAUGGCCUCCGGUGCUACAACCGGUGAGUCUUUUUGCUGGAACCGGCCGACAAAAAAGCUUCAACCACACUGACCAGUGCUGGAACCAGGCAAUCGUCGAGUAGUUUUUGCUGCCACCUCCUUUCUUUGCUACAAAUGGCAUGAUUUUUUGCUGGAUCCGUCGAGAAAUUUUGUUGCGACCAUCGGCGGCGAUGCAUGUUUUUGCUACAACCAGCACGACGAUGCGCUGGUGUUUUUUGCUUUGAGAUUGUUUUGCUGGAACCAGUGUUUUCUUUUGCUGGAACUGGCUAAUGUGUUUGAUACAAUCGAUCAUCGGAGUUUUUUGCUGCUGGGAUUUUUGCUGGAACCACUAUUAAGUUUUGCUGGAAGUGGCAAAUAUUUUUGUUUCAACGGAGUACCGAAGUUUUUUGUUACUUUAGAUUUUUUUUGCUGGAGAUGACGGUGCAAGUCGACGACGGCAGCGAGCCGGAGACGAGGACGUCGGGAUGCUGCAACCAUGGUGAUGGCGCUCUGGACCCUUCUUGUUCGAGCUGCAACCAUGGUGAGUGGAGGCAGCCAAGGCGAGCACAGUGGCAUGGGUCGCCGGCGAGCGCGGAUGGCCGGCGUGGUGGCACAAGUCACCGGCAAGCUCGGGUAGCCGAGGACAAGCGAGGCGGCCGGCGAGCUUGCACGGAGUGGGGCAUGCGCGCACGCUCACUUUUUCCUGAUCUGCUUUUUCCUAUGUGUGUUGACUUUAUGGGGACGAAGUUAAUUUUAAUCUGACGGUUGAAAAAUACUCUAUCGAACGUACACGCAGCGACCGGCCCAAAAGUUGGCCGGUCCGCCGGCGCCUAUCAGCGCCCUUAUAUUUGUUCACAGAGGGAGUACAGCAUAUACUCACCAGAAACGCUAAAAGCUGAGAGGGCAGAGAUAGGUGCAGUUUUACUGUUUAGCGUUGGAGGACAGGAAUUAGGUGCAUUUUCAUCAAUGUCCUAAAAUGUUGUUGUUUCUAUGGAAACCAAAAUUAAGAUACACUCCUACGAUUGACUAGUACUGAAUUUUUUUUCUUCGUAUAUUACCUCAUUACCUUCAAGAUUUAAGCACAUUAUAAUCUCUUUCCUUGUUUCUAGAAGCAAGAAGUCAUACCCAAGCCUCUAUUGCAGGCAAGGUUUUUGCCCCAACAUUCACCCACUUGUGUGAAAGUGACCCAUGGUGAAUUGUGUACAUGGCACGUGCCCUUUUUUUGGUAUGUGGAUGUGUACAAAUGUCUUGUGUAUUUAGAAAUUUGAUGCAAAUUUUUUGAACGGGUGUGGCGAUUGCUUUGGUUCGCUUAGCAUUUUUUGGCUGCAUGUGGGCCAGGCUGAUGUGAUUGUUCUUGGCCCGUUGACCUGGUUGUCUAGCGUUCCUUCCGUGGGCUUCCUUUCUUAUCUGGCUUGCACGUGCCUCCUGAUCGAGUUGUGGUGUCGUGCAUCCGUGUAUUCGGUUCUCGGUGCCGUUUUCCAGUCAAAAAAGGGUGCCGCUUCGAUCGCGUAAUCUAGACGCUCCUCGUGUUUUUGAUCGGUGCCGCUUCCAUCGUUUGAUCUAGAGUCUGCUGUUAGUUUCUGGUUCGCGCCGCUGUCGUCGUCUAAUCUCGAAACCUCGCCGUCUAUCGCCACGUUACGAGGUUAUAAAUAGACCGUCCUUCUUGCCAUAUUAUUGUAGUAGGUCUUCUUCGGUCUCACGUAUAUUGUCUCCAUGGUAUCUCUUUCUUUCUAUUGUAAUGGACCGCGGCGUCCGGGUCGGCCUCCUCGUUCCCGGGGGGCUGUGGUUGGCCGGCGCGGUGGUUGGGGCCGUUCUGCUGUAUCGCCGUUGUGUCGGCUCGGCCCGUAUGUAUGGAGCAUGCUCCGGCGUUUGAUGAUCAUGCAUGUAGUCUGCGGCCGGCUCAUGGGAUGCCAGAGCGAGCGCCCCGGCAAGCGGCGCCACUCGUGCGGCAACAUCUGCGCCUACGUCCGGUGCUCCCCGAUGGACGGCGGCGUCUGCUCCGCCGGGUCCAGUACGUCUAUAACCAGCACGGCUGCCAGAGCUGCGUAGCCUACUACGAGGCCGUGACCACGAGAGCAUGUGCCCACACGUGCCUUGCUCCUGCACGGGGUCCGGCAUGCCUCCAUCGGUUCGCUGCCGCCGCCGCUGAAGUCAGCCGCCAGGAGCGGCGCCUCCGGAUCUCCGUCGCCCGCGACUUUUCCUUGUAGUGUCUCGCCUCCGCCGCUGUGCCGCAUCGAGCUAGCCAGAAUCGGCAUCGUGGGCAUCAGCCCCUUCUCAAGCCGUGCAUCGUGGCCAUACCCCGCACGUGGCUCCUGCGGCAACAGCGCGAGGUGGCAGCGACCUGCGUGCAUGUAGAGCGGCGGUGGCGGCACACGCUCAUCAUGCGGGGAAGAUGUCCUUCGCACCUGGCGGCUAGCCGGGCAUCACCGCAUCCGGGGUGAUGGAGCAAACAUCGCCGCCCAUUACGAACACCGGUAUGGCAGCCAUUCCGCGUUGGGUGGAGGAGGUCGGAACAAACGCUAGCACACCAGCCAAGUUAUGGCUACAACCACGGCAGCGUCGAUGCAAUCCAGAACCUCUCGCCUUCAACUGGAGUAUCCUGCGGAAGACGCGGUGCUCGAUGUUUGUUCCCUAGCUACCCGGUGUUUGUUCCCUGCUUCACAGGUACCGUGGCUUCUAAAAGUCUAAAACAGGUCGGGUUUCUUUCUUUGUGUUCUUUCGCAAGAUUUGAUGUGUUUCUUUCUCUGUGUUCUUCCGCAAGAUUUGACAUCAUGAUUUAACUAGUCGAAAGCAAAAACUGUUGAUGUUAGAACCAUGUGGCCACCCCAUGCAAAACUCACUCACUCACGUAGGCACCUCGCCUCUCAAUCCCAUGCACAUGCACGUGGUCACAUCACUGUAAUUCACGCCCAAUCAAAGCAUGCACCCAUCAGCGACAAAAUGAAAGCAAACAGAUCCCAUGCCGCCCCAUGAAGAACGUAGUUUGACAAAACAAACCGCGAAAGAAAGUGCUACGGCCACACAUAUCGUGUACCAGCACUUGGGCAUUCUGUUCAUGGAAAAACUGUUUUUUAAGUUUUUUUGAAGAGAAUUCAAAAGGAAAAUAUACACCGUUAUCCUUUUUUAGUGGAUACCUUUACCUUUUCUAAUUUGUGAAAAGACAUGAAGAUCUGGUACCAGGUUCUGAACAUGAAUGUCGACAAAUAAAAGUUCACACAAAAUAGAAAAACUAACACAUGAAUGACCCAGCGAAGUGCGGCCACAACUCAAGUAACUAUUAAUUCAACAAGAAAAAAUAUAUGUACAUAAAAUAUUAUAUACCACAUAGAUGAUUCACCGAAAUCCACCAAACUCAAACUUAGCAUGCGAUAUAUAAAAGUACUUCCCUUGUUUAAUAAGUAUCGAUUACUUCAUGCAAUAAAACUUUCCUUCUUCAAACACCUUAGCAUCCACAAUGGCUUUAUGCUCGUAAAAAAUCAUUCAAAAUUUAUAUUACUUAAUAGACAUGCAAAAAGUUAAAUGAAUAAGUAGUAACCAACCAAUUAGCAAAACGAUCAGCAGAUGAAUGCAUACAGGAUUUUAACAUAGUGUUGCAUGCACACCUCUAUUAUUGGUUCCCCUAAAAUUAGGUUAUUGCCAAAAAAAAAUCAUCCCGAGUCAAGACUAAUAAAAAAAAUAAAAAAGUGUAAGUAUAUACAAUAGUAUACACUGUUAACCAUAACAAGGCGCGGCGUGCUGCCGCGUGGGUACAUGCUAGUAAUAUCCAUAUACAAUCAUUAGCAUCAUCUUACCUCGCAUGAGUUAAUACUCGUUUUUUUAACCACCCUAUUUACGAUAAAUCAUGAGUGAACAUGCAGCCACGCGAGGUCGUUAUCAAGACCGACCGUUUCCGCGUGAUUCGUGCAGCUCUAAUACAUCGAGCCUGUAUAAUAUACUUCUGACCUUGCCAGCAGAUGGCCCAGAAUGCAGACUCGCGCAUUGAAGACGUGCGUUGAUUAACAUGUCAGUUCAAAUGGCCGGCUGCACCACAAUAACUACACUGAUCCAUGGUACUUGAUUAGAAGAUGGUCGCGGAGCAUGUCGUUUGAAGCGUUAACUACAUUGAAAGCAUGCAGCCUGUCCAUAAUCUCACUAACUCUCUCCAUCCAGCAUUGUUCAAUUUGGAAAAUGAGGUAUUUUAGUUUCGGACUACUGAUUUAAAACUCUUACAUGCAUCAAUUUUUGACUUAAAAAUCACUUAACUCCAUUCUUCAUAGUUAACUUGAAUCACAAAAAAUAUAAUCUGAUUUUUAAAUGCAACGUUGAUACAAAACCAGAAUGUCAAUUAAAAGAUCAGGCAAAAUUCUACAGAAAAAGUUAAAAUACAUUUACAUAACUUAUAGGAUAUUUGAGACAUCACCAAUAUGAGAGAAUGGUUUUUUUUACGGCUUCGGUUUUGAUCUCAGCUUCACAAGCAUACAUGUUAACCAAAAAUUACGGUUCCCAUUUUUGAACAAAUUAGAGACAUCAAAACCAACUCCACAGAUUUCUAGUUGAAAAUAUCUACGAGAUGCAUUUAAUUACCUUAAUAUAUGGGAGAAAGUUUGUCAUGGUUGCAGCUAAAUUCGUGUGCUUAGUCGAUGUAUUAGUAAUAUGUUAAUCGGUAAAUUAGGACUAACCAUCAUACAAGUGUGUUUAAUCAGUGUGCCAGUUAUUAGCCAUGUAAUAUCUUGGGCUAAUUAGCAUAUGAGUAUUACCAUACACUAAACCAUCCAGUUUGUCAUGAAACAGAUGCUAUGAUAAAGCUUCUUGUACUAGCAUUAUUCCAUUGAUGCAUCUGCCAAUUGAUGGGUGACACAUUAAUACAUAGACUUGGCCACCUAAUAAGAAUUGCCAUAAGAAAAGUCUGCAAUGCAAGGGGACGAACAGGUUGGAUAUACAUCAGCACGUUUGUGCGUAUACCCAAGUAAAACGCAGGAUCAAGUCCAGUGUCCAUAUGCUAACCUGUGUAUCUCUGUUUCUACCGAAGACAUUUCCCCUGUUCUUCUGCUCUCCAUAGGACGCAAAUCGAAAAUGAGCUACAGUGCACACCACGAGGUACUUAUGGUGGUUGCCCCACGUCCAGAGCAUUGACGACGGUUCAAUUAUGCGCAUCCACCAAAGGACGGGGAGUUAAUCCAUCUCCCGGACCGGGCUUUUUUUGUUUUUCUCGUCUGAUUCAUUGAACGUGUGCUGUGCUGCUGUCCCACCGUCGGGAUGUAUAACGCGCGUAUUCGUGCGAUGUGUGAAUUCACGCGGCGCGUAUUGCACGGCGCGUAUUGCAAAAGUGCUAAUAAAAGUAGCAAUCGCAGCGCGUUGCCGGACGACCGGGGUAACGGCAGCGCGUAGCCGCAUGUCCCAAAAAUUCACGUCCCCCUAUUUAUUAGUAAUUAAUUAACAAAAACUUAUUACAAUUAUUCAUUAUAAAAUUGGCGAAACAGUAUUAAAAGGAAUCCCAUCGGACCCGCUAAUAAAGCUAAACUUCACAAUCUCGUGUGCCACUUCAUUGGCAAGCCGAUUAAUUUUCACAAUUUUAUAAUUCUGGAUACGCCUAAAGAUACUCAAGGCCUCUUUCUUCAUAUCAACGAGAGGAGACCUGUCAAGUUUCUCAUUUGCAAGAAAAGAAUAUACGAAAGCACAGUCAAUCUUUAAAAAAAUAGACCGGUGGAGGGUAUUGCCAAUAUAAAGGCUUGUGAGGUAAGCACGUAGCUCAGCUUGUACACUGAACAAAAAAGUCCCAAGAGGAGAUGACUAACUAUGGCAGAGGAGUUUCUAGCAACCACCCACACACUGGCAGCAUUAAUACUCUUCACAAUGUUGGUGUCGACAUUGCUCUUGAUAAAAUCAACAGGGGAGGUUUCCACAAUAUGCUGCUAUAACCCCUCCCACCCUUCUCUUACCUCUGUUAAUGUAAAUCCAACUCAAUAGUAGUAUCUUGAUAGGACGUGAAAGAGGACCAAAAAUUGUCCACAAAAUUUACGGACAGUAAUGGAUUCCUUUCCCUUCUCAAAAUUAAAUCAUUUCUCAAGUGUGAGGCUCGCCAGAAGAGAAAUAAGAUUUGCUCUCGUUGUUGCAAGCUCAACUGAUUCGGUCCCAAUAAUUGGAAUCUCUUCAUCAAGAAUAUUCCAUAAAUCUCUUAAAGCCAAUCGCAAAGCACGAGCCUUUGAACAACUUAGGAGAGCAUGAAUGUGUUUUCAUCUUCUACACCAUAAAUAGAGCGCAUACCUAAAAUAGUCUGGUGGUGUUUAAUUCUAUUAAUUUGGACCGCCAAGCUAUUGGUUGCGGACACCAUGUAAAAAUCCUAAUCUUCUAGGGAAUAUUAGCCUUCCAAAUUAAAUUUCAAAGCCUUCUUUCCCUAUUUGGUUCGCUACUAGCUUGGCCCAAUGUGUCCUGAUUAUUGAUCAAAUUAAGCGCAAAAUUGUACGCACUUUAACCGAAAAAUAUAACUUUUUCUCAUAGUGCCACACAAUAAAAUCUCCAUCCCUAGAAGCACGAAUACGAAUCUUUAGAAUCUCCUCUACAUCGUGGGGAUAGAAAAGAUACUUAACCAAAAUUUCGUCCCUACACUUUCCCCCGCUCAUGAGUAAAGCAGAGAUUCACUUCAAUCUAGUAUUAUGCCUUUUAGCUAAAGUUUUUAGGCCAGAGCUCCUUGUAACCAAUACUGGCUCCAUUAUACACCCACCAAAUUACACCUUUCUUUAGCAUACAUAGCCCAUGCAUAAUACCUUGCCAAGUCACAAAUGCAGAAUGAGGAAACACUGUAUUAAGAAUUUUCCCUGAGGAUAAUACUUUGCCUUCAUAAACUUUGCACAUAGCGAGUCCAGAUAAAUUAACAAACGCAACGCCUGUUUAGCCAAUAAAGCUUUGUUAAAUAAUCUAAGAUCACGAAAUCCUAUGCCAUCAUUACCUUUAGGCCUUGUUAAUUGUCCCACGCUAACCAAUGUGUUCUCCUUCUAUCUUUCUCAUCUCCUCACAGAAAAUUCCUAAUAAUCUGGGAUAGCUCCUCACAAAGGAAAGCCGGAAAUUUGAAUAUUCACAUAUAAUACACAGGUAGGGCCUGAAUGACUGAUUUAUUAAAUCUUCCUUCGCCCCACAAGAAGCAUACUUUUUAAUCCAGUCUGAGAGCCUUUUUAGCACCUUUUCUUUAGUGGAUUGAAACUUACCAACCUUCAUUUUUCCCUCUAGGACCGGUAAUCCAAGACAUUUAUCCUCAAACACAUCCAUCGUAAAUUUAAAAUUGUAGCCACUUGAUUCUUCAAGCUGCACCUUUUCCCAAACAACAUGGAAUAAUUACUUAAUAAUUGCCCAGUCCCUUUCUCAUACACCAUCACAAUAUUUUUAAUGGCUAAUGCCUGAUCGAUGGAGAGCUUGAAAGACUGUCAUCUACGAACACAAGUGAGAAACCAGGAGCUUGUCUAUUCAAACGAAAGUCCUUAAGAGCACCCCUGGCACAAGCAUCAUUAGGCAGCAAAGAAAGCGCCUUAGCUACAAAUAGGAACAAAUACGGAGAUGACAGAUAUACCUGCCUGAGCCCCAGAGUAGGUGAAAACAACUCCAAUAAUUGACCAUUAAAACGCACCGCAAAUUUCACCGAUGUAACACACGUCAUAUCCAAUUAAUCCAAUGUGUCGCAAAGCCCAAAGCCCCCAUCACACAUUGCAAGAAAUGCUAAUCCACAUGGUCACAGGCUUUAGCCAAAUCCAAUUUAUAAGCAAAGAAUUCCCCUCUUAAAUCUUUAAGCAUACUCAAAGAAUGCAUACAUUCAAAAGCUAUGAGAGCAUUAUCAUAAAUUAACCUUCCCAAAAAAACUUUGAAAUAGGGAUAUCGUACCAUCAAGGAGCGGACGCAGUUUGUUUACAAGACACUUGGAGAUAAUUUUGUAGAUAACAUUGCACAAACUGAUCGGCCUGAAAUUUUUAAUUGAUUGUGGAUUCUUAACUUUCGGGAUGAGAACAAUAGUUGUAUCAUUAAUCCCCUUAUGCAUUUUUCCCGAAAUAAAAAACUGCAGAACACCCUUAACAAUAUCCUCUUUUAUCAAACCCCAAUUCCUUUGUUAAUACUCAUAUUUUGUUUCAGUGAAAGCCUUCAUGGCCUACUUUAUUCAUUGCUUAAUAUAGAACAUCGUUUAUGAGUUUAGGAAACAAAAAUAAAAAGGGUUCAUCGAUCCAAUUACAAUUACAAACCACAUUUUUAAUAUAAUAGUAAUAUGUAGCAAUCUCGUGAGGGGCACCGUUAGGUUCCCUUGGACAGUGUUCAAAUCUCACACUUCCAGUUUCUCUACCAAUAUCAACAAAAUGUACAUGCAUAACAUGAGCUUCAUUCCACCAUUGAACACGAUGAAUUCAAGCAUCAAUUACCUCAAUAUUAUCCGACUCAACCUGAACUGAGUUACAUCCAAUAUGUGUGCUACUUGUGAGCUGCAUUGAGAUUUCCUCAAAGAGGAGAGGAUGAUGUAGUACAAUAGAGAUAGGUAUUUUCCUCAGUUAAGAACCAAGGUUAUUAAUCCAGUAGGAGAACCAUGCAAGACUUCGUGAACAACACCUACACACAAAAAUAACAAAUACUUGCAUCCAACGCAAACAAAGGGUUGUUAAUCUCUUGGCGGUUAAUUGCAAGGAUCAAAUCUCGUAGUGAUAGAUAGAUAAAUAAAAACACAAAAUAAAAUAACGGUAAAUAAAUUGCAGUAAGGUAUUUUUGGAUUUUAAUAUAUGAUAAGGAUAGACCCGAGGGCCAUAGUUUUCACUAGAGGCUUCUCUCUCGAAUAAAAAGCAUACGGUGGAUGAACAAAUUAUUGUUGGGCAAUUGGUAGAAAAGCGCAUAAUUAUCACGAUAUCCAAGGCAAUGAUUAUGCAUAUAGGCAUCACGUCCGAGACAAGUAGACCGACUCCUGCCUGCAUCUACUACUAUUACUCCACACAUCGACUGCUAUCCAUCAUGCAUCUACAGUAUUAAGUUAAUAAAGAACAGAGUAACCGAGGGAGUCCUGGAUUAGGGGGUCCUCGGGCAGCUGGCCUAUCUCUCGUGGGUCGGACAGGUGGGCCGCUUUGUAACUACUAGAAGGCCGAAUUACGGGACGACCCCAUAUCCGGACAAGGAGCUUUUUAUGCCUUGGUGUGUCCUCCAAGUUAAGAUGAGAAGAAUCGAAGCAUGUUUAUCCCUUCCUUGUAACCGACCAUGUGUAACCCUAGCACCCCCGGUGUCCAUAUAAACCGGAGAGUUUAGUCUGUAGAGGCUAGAACAACAACCAUCAUCCUACUAGUUUAGGUUUGGUUCAUCUGAUCUUGUGGUAGAUUAGAUGACUCUGUAAUCCUCAUAUAUACAAGCAAUAUAAUCAAGCAGGACGUAGGGUUUUACCUCUUCGAGAGGGCCUGAAUGUUGGGGAUCGUAGCAGAAUUUUAAAAUUUCCUACGCAUCACCAAGAUCCAUCUAUGGAGUAUACUAGCAACGAGGGGAAAGGAGUGCAUCUACAUACCCUUGUAGAUCGCGAGCGGAAGCGUUCUAAUGAACGGGGUUGAUGGAGUUGUACUCGCCGUGAUCCAAAUCACCGAUGACCGAGUGCCGAACGGAGGGCACCUCCGCGUUCAACACACGUACAGAGCAGCGACGUCUCCUCCUUCUUGAUCCAGCAAGGGGGAAGGAGAGGUUGAUGGAGAUCCAGCAGCACGACGGCGUGGUGGUGGAAGUAGCGGGGAUCUCGGCAGGGCUUCGCCAAGCUUCUGCGAGAGGGAGAGGUGUUGCAGGGGGAGAGGGAGGCGCCAGGGGCUGUGGUGCUGCUGCCCUCCCUCCCCCCACUAUAUAUAGGCCCCCCUGGGGGGGGCGCCGGCCCUGGAUCCCAUCUACAAGGGGGGGGGGCGGCCAGGGGGGAAACUUGCCCCCCAAGUCAGGUGGGGCGCCCCCCACCCCCAGGGUUUCCAACCCUAGGCGCAGGGGGAGGCCCAUGGGGGGCGCCCCUGCCCACUAGGGGCUGGUUCCCCUCCCACUUCAGCCCAUGGGGCCCUCUGGGACAGGUGGCCCCACCCGGUGGACCCCCGGGACCCUUCCGGUGGUCCCGGUACAAUACCGAUAACCCCCGAAACUUUCCCGGUGGCCGAAACUGGACUUCCUAUAUAUAAUUCUUCACCUCCGGACCAUUUCGGAACUCCUCGUGACGUCCGGGAUCUCAUCCGGGACUCUGAACAACUUUCGGGUUUCCGCAUACUAAUAUCUCUACAACCCUAGCGUCACCGAACCUUAAGUGUGUAGACCCUACGGGUUCGGGAGACACUCAGACAUGACCGAGACGCCUCUCCGGUCAAUAACCAACAGCGGGAUCUGGAUACCCAUGUUGGUUCCCACAUGUUCCACGAUGAUCUCAUCGGAUGAACCACGAUGUCUAGGAUUCAAUCAAUCCCGUAUACAAUUCCCUUUGUCAAUCGGUACGUUACUUGCCCGAGAUUCGAUCGUCGGUAUCCCAAUACCUUGUUCAAUCUCGUUACUGGCAAGUCACUUUACUCGUACCGUAAUGCAUGAUCCCGUGGCUAACUCCUUAGUCACAUUGAGCUCAUUAUGAUGAUGCAUUACCGAGUGGGCCCAGAGAUACCUCUCCGUCAUACGGAGUGACAAAUCCCAGUCUCGAUCCGUGUCAACCCAACAGACACUUUCAGAGAUACCCGUAGUGUACCUUUAUAGUCACCCAGUUACAUUGUGACGUUUGGUACACCCAAAGCACUCCUACGGAAUCCGGGAGUUACACGAUCUCAUGGUCUAAGGAAAAGAUACUUGACAUUGGAAAAGCUCUAGCAAACGAACUACACGAUCUUUUGUGCUAUGCUUAGGAUUGGGUCUUGUCCAUCACAUCAUUCUCCUAAUGAUGUGAUCCCGUUAUCAAUGACAUCCAAUGUCCAUAGUCAGGAAACCAUGACUAUCUGUUGAUCAACGAGCUAGUCAACUAGAGGCUUACUAGGGACACGUUGUGGUCUAUAUAUUCACACAUGUAUUACGAUUUCCGGAUAACACAAUUAUAGCAUGAACAAUAGACAAUUAUCAUGAACAAAGAAAUAUAAUAAUAACCAUUUAUUAUUGCCUCUAGGGCAUAUUUCCAACACUGAACCUGGGUAAACAUCGUGUCCCUAGUCCCUUGUUCCCCAUUGAUCCAAGAUCCACAGCUUGGGACCCCCUACCCGAGAUCCGCUGGUUUUGACACCGACAUUGGUGCUUUCAUUGAGAGUUCUGUUGUUGGAUCGCCGAAGGAUUGAUGGCUCGCCUGAUCAUCGGAGACGGCAUCAUCACCGGGUACAUCUUCGUCCCCGGCUAGCUUUUCACGUUCGGCAGCAUCGUGUUGCAUGCGGAUUCGACCGGUCAUCUCGACCAGGUCGAUAGUUUCGCCUGAGCACCAGAUCAGGUUUGGUAACUUAGAGUACGUCGCCGAUGCUCGGGGCGAUCUGAUCUUCACCGGCUUCUCAGCUUCACCUGAGACGCCCGUGGACCUCGAAGCAUCAACUUCGGGGCCCCUCACCGAUCCGAUCUCGGGAUCGGCCCUUAUCCCGCGGCCGCUUUGAGCUCGGAUGCCAGCACUACGUCUGAAGACCAGGAGUCACUCUCGGCCGGACUCCCCCACCUUACCACAAAUCUGGCCUCAAGCCUUGGCGAUAGUUCGACAUCCGGACACCAGGAAUCAACCCUAGCCGAAUUCACUCCUCGCCUCACCACCACUCCGGAGGUUGACUCUGAAGAAACCUCAAACUCCAAUCCGACCAGUCUCGCCCUGUUAAACGAGGCGCUAGACCGGAUCCAAAUGAUGAGUAUUCUGGAUGGCCCACCCUCGGCCUACGCUCAGCAGUGCCUUGAAACAAGCCACAGGGAAUUUUACAUCCCACCCACCACCCACUUAGUAGCCACUGUCGAAGACUUAACCGACAUGUUGGACUAUGCCUCCGAGGAGGCCGACGACAGCAAAACCAUGGCCCACAUUGACGCCGCCCCUCCCAUCACCGGCCGAUGGACGGCCACCUCCACCUAUGACAUCAACAUGGUAGACACCCCCAAGGAUGACAGUGAUGGUGCUAAUGGGGAUGGCACCCCAGAAGAGACAAUAACAAGCCUGGCGAGGAACCCCCCAAACGCCGGAGACAACACCGACGAUCCAAGGGGCGACGAGGCAAGGAAAGCAACACAGGCACCGGAGAGGGCAACACCCCGGAAAACACGGAAGACCUCGGCGCCCCCGCACCCGAGCACCAUUCUGAUGGCUUAGAGGGGCAUGAGGGUCAGUAUAACCCCGAGGAACCCAAUGAUUCCGAAGAUAGCAAUUACAUGCCUCUCUUCGAAGAGGAGGUCAGUCUUGGAGCUGAAGAUUUUAUCGUUCCAGAAGAUCCAUUGGAACAAGAGCGGUUCAGGCAACAGCUCAUAGCCACCGCGCAAAGCUUGAACAAGAAGCAGCAACAGAUAAAAGCUGAAUAAGACACCCUCAACGACAGAUGGACGAAAGUCCUAGCAGCCGAAGAAGGGUACGACUAUGAAUGACAAACAAAGAGCUACCCCAAGCGCAAAUUGUUGCCGCAAUUCGACGACAAGGCCUUCGAGCUCGUGCCGCCCAGACGAACUCAAGGGCGACCAGUCAGACCGCCCCCCUCGAGGACGGGACAGGCCGGCUGGAGAGGCCGAACACUCACCUGUUCCCCUUCGCCGUAAGGGCAAGGAGCCGACACAACCUGAAUACCAAUAUGAUCUCCGCCAUGACCUCACCGUUAGAGCAGGACACACAUGAUCCAUCUAUGGAUCUCGGGAUCACGCCCCGGCUGGACGGGACGGAUACCAAUCAUGGCGCGACCUAAAUGAUAGAAUUCGGGAGCAGCACCGGGCUGAUACAGCCGCUGAUCUAUGAUGUGACGUAGCUCGAGUAAGGGGCGCCGCCCACCCCAUGUGUUUCACUAAUGAGGUGGUGCAACACCAGUUCCCAGAAGGGUUUAAACACGUAAACAUCGAGCCUUACGAUGGGACGACAGACCCAGCUGUGUGGAUCAAAGAUUUCCUUCUCCACAUCCAUAUGGCCCGAGGAGACGACCUCCACGCCAUUAAAUAUUUGUCAUUAAAGCUCAAAGAACCAGCUUGGCAUUGGUUGAAUAGUCUCCCCGAAGACUCCAUCGGGAGCUGGGAAGAGCUCGAGGAUGCUUUCCAAGCUAACUUUCAAGGCACCUAUGCCCGACCUCCGGAUGUCGAUGACUUGAGCCAUGUUGUCCAACAGCCCGGUGAGUCAGCCCGACAAUUUUGGAAUCGGUUUUUGACCAAAAAGAACCAGAUCGUCGAUUGUCCGGACGCUGAAGCCAUAGCCGCAUUUAAACAUAGUAUCCGGGACGAAUGGCUCGCACGCCAACUCGGUCAAUCUAAGCCGAGAACAAUGGCAGCACUUACCUCUCUCAUGACCCGCUUUUGUGCGGGAGAAGAUAGUUCGCUAGCUGAUAACCCACAAGUAUAGGGGGUCAAUUGUAGCCUCUUUCGAUAAGUAAGAGUGUCGAACCCAACGAGGAGCUAAAGGUAGAACAAAUAUUCCCUCAAGUUCUAUCGACCAUCGACACAACUCUAUGCACGCUUGCCGUUCGCUUUACCUAGAACAAGUAUGAAACUAGAAGUACUUUGUAGGUGUGAUAGGAUAGGUUUGCAAGAAAAUAAAGAGCACGUAAAUAAAAUCUAUGGGAUGUUUAGAUAAAUACACACCUAAGUUAGUUUUAGUAGAGAGUUUUUGUCAACAAUAAAGUUAUUUGUCCCUAGGCAAUCGAUAACAAGUAUCGGUAAUCGUUCUUGUAAUUUUAUAUGAGGGAGAGGCAUGAGCUAACAUACUUUCUAUACUUGGAUCAUAUGCACUUAUGAUUGGACUCCUAGCAAGCAUCCGCAACUACUAUAGAUCAUUAAGGUCGUGAAACCCAGCCAUAGCAUUAAGUAUCAAGUCCUCUUUACUCCCAUAUGCCAUAACCCACCUAUCCGCGUUUGGGCUGCUGUCAUCCCCCGCAACACUGACAAUAAGAAAACCAUGAACAUAUUGCAACACCCUACAGCGGGGGGCCCUCACGUUUGCGCGAGACGGAGGGCACCGUAAAAUAUACAAUCAUACCAACCAAGAUCACAAUUAACCCAUAGGACAAAACGGAUCUAGUCAAACAUCAUAGGAUAACCAUAGAUCACCGGAAAUAAUAUAUGGAGUCGAGCACCAUGUUUAAGUAGAGAUUAUAGAGGGGAGAAGAGGUGUUACACCGCUGCAUAGAGGGGGAGAAAGUUGGUGUUGACGGUAGCAAGAUUGUUGAUGUAGAUCUCCGUCUCGAUCGUUGCCUCGGCGGCACUCCGGCGCCACCGGAAGCGAGGGGGAGAGAGACCCCCUCCUUCUUCUUCUUCCUUGGCCUCCCCCCUAGAUGGGAGGAGAGUUCCCCCUCUGGUCCAUGGCUUCCAUGGAGCCGGAGGGGCGGGAGCACCUCCGAGAUUGGAUCUCCCUCUCUGUUCUCUUCUGUUUCGCGUUCCGCAGAUCUGACCGAAAACCGUUUCUUAUAUUCCAGAGAUCCGUAACUCCGAUUGCACUGAGAUUUUAACACGAUUUUUUUCCGGAUAUAAGCUUCCUUGCUCCUGAAGUAGAGCUCCAACCGACGUUCGAGGAGGGCACAACCCACCACCACGCGCCAGGGGCCUCUGGCGCGCCCUGGUGUCUUGUGGGCUGUGUGGGCCUCCGUUUGCGGUGAUUCCAACUCCCAAAAAUCACAUAUAUUCCAAAAUAAUUCUUUGUGAAAUUUUAUUGCAUUUGGACUUUGUUUGAUAUGGAUACUCUACGAUACAAAAAACAUGCAGAAAACAGGAACUGGCACUGGGCACUGUAUCAAUAGGUUAGUCCAAUAAAUCAUAUAAAAGUUGCCAAAAGUAUGUAAAACUUGUAUAAUAUUGGCAUGAAACAAUCAAAAAUUAUAGAUACGACGGAGACGUAUCAGCAUCCCCAAGCUUAAUUCCUACUCGUCCUCGAGUAGGUAAAUGAUAAAAAAGAUAAUUUUUGAUGUGGAAUGCUACCUAGCAAAAACUUGAUCAUAUAUCUAAUCAUGGCAUGAAUAUUAAGACAUAAGUGAUUCAAAGCAAUAGUCUAUAAUUUGACAUAAAGACAUCAAUACUCAGGCAUCCCAACAAACAAUCAUGUCUUUCAAAAUAUCAACGCUAAAGAAAGCUAUCCCUACAAAAUCAUAUAGUCUUGUCAUGCUCUAUCUUCUUAACACAAAGUAUUUAUCAUGCACAACCCCGAUGACAAGCCGAGCAAUUGGUUCAUACUUUUAACGCGCUUCAGCUUUUUCAACCCUCACGCAAUACAUGAGCGGGAGCCAUGGAUAUAGCACUACGGGUGUAAUAUAGUAUGCUAAUAGGGGUAAAUAUAAAGAAGACAAAAAAGUAAGAAAGUCUCACAUCGACGCGGCUAACCAAUGGGCUAUGGAGAUGCCCAUCAAUUGAUAUCAAUGUGAGGAGUAGGGAUUGCCAUGCAACGAAUGCACUAAAAGCUAUAAGUGUAUGAAAGCUCAAUAUGAAAACUAAGUGGGUGUGCAUCUAAUCCUAUAAUGAAAAAUUCCCACUAGUAUAUGAAAGUGACAACAUAGGAGACUCUCCAUACGAAAACAUGGCGCUACUUUGAAGCACAAGUGUGGUAAAGGAUACUAACAACGCCCCUUCUCUCUUUGUUUUUUCUUUUUUUUUUCCUUUUUUUCUUUCUUUUUUUCUUUUUAUAUUUGUUUCUCUCAUUGUCCGGAGUCUCAUCCCGACUUGUGGGGGAAUCAUAGUCUCCAUCAUCCUUUCCUCACUGGGGCACUGCUCUAAAAAUGAAUAAUGAUGAUCAUCACACUUCUAUUUACUUAUAACUCAAAGGAAAUAAAAAUUACAACUCUCGAUACCUAUGACAAAGUAUGACUCUAUAUGAAUGCCUCUGGCAAUGUACCAGGAUGUGCAAUGAUCUAGCGUAACAUGUAUGAAAAAUGAUGAAUGGUGGCUGAGCCACAACUACUAUGUCAGUUAUAUGAUCAUGCAAAGCAAUAUGACAAUGAAUGCUCAAGUCAUCAAACAGAAGCGGUGGAAGUUGCAUGGCAAUAUAUAUCGGAAUGGCCAUGGAAAAGCCAUAAUAGGUAGGUAUGGUGGUUGUUUUGAGGAAGAUAUAAUAAGGCUUAUGUGUGAUAGAGCGUAUCGUAUCAUGGGGUUUGGAUGCACCUGCGAAGUUUGCACCACGUCUCGAUGUGAGAAAGGGCAAUGCACGGUACCGUAGAGGCUAGCAAAUUUUGGAAAGGUAAGAGUGCGUAUGAUCCAUGGACUCACAUUAGUCAUAAAGAACUCAUAUACUUAUUGCAAAAGUUUAUUAGCCCUCAAAGCAAAGUAUUAAUACGCAUGCCCCUAGGGGGAUAGAUUGGUAGGAAAAUACGAUCGCUCGUCCCCGACCGCCACUCAUAAGGAAGACAAUCAAUAAUAAAUCAUGCUCCAACAUCAUAGCAUAAUGAGAGACUAUACGUGCAUGCUUCGGGAAUCACAAACCUUAACACCAAUAUUCUUACUAACCACAACCAUUUACUAGUACCUCCCAAAUAUUACCAUCACUAUAUCACAAAAUUAUUGCAAGGAAUCAAACAUAUCAUAUUCAGUGAUCCAUAAGUUUUAUGUAGGAUUUUAUGACUAACCAUGCAAUUGACCAAUUCCUUUUGAAUCUCUAAAUAGAUAUAAGUGAAGCAUGAGAGUUUAAUUCUUUAUACAAAAGACCAUGCUCUAACACAUAUAAGUGAAGCAAAAGAGCAUUCUACAAACAACAGUUUUCUAUGUAAAGAGAAACAGGCAAUCCAAACUUCAAAUGAUAUAAGUGAAGCACAUGAAGCAUUCUACAAGGCCAUACUCAAAACAUAUAAGUGAAGUGCAAUGAGCAUUCUAUAAAUCAACCAUGGACUACCUCAUACCAGCAUGGUGCAUAAAAUAAAAAUAAAAAAUAAACACAAAAGACGCUCCAAGAUUCACACAUAUCACAUGAACGAAACGAAAACGAAAACAUACUGAUACUUGUCGAAGAAAGAUGGGAUGCCUUCCGGGGCAUCCCCAAGCUUAGACGCUUGAGUCUCCUUGAAUAUUUACUUGGGGUGCCUUGCGCAUCCCCAAGAUUGAGCUCUUGCCUCUCCUCCUUCUCCUCAUAUCGAGACCUCCUCGAUCUUUGAUCACUUCAUCCACACAAAACUCAAUAGAAAGCUCGGUAAGAUCCAUUAGUAUAAUAAAGCAAAUCACUAAUCUAAGUAUUGUUGCAAACCAAUUCAUAUUUUGUUUUUGCAUUGUAGAUACUGUAAUAUAACUUUUCCAUGGCUUACCACCGAUAAAAAUCGAUAGUUUCAUCAAAACAAGCAAACAAUGCAUCAAAAACAGAAUUUGUCUUAAAUAGGAUAGUCUGUAGUAAUCUGAACAUUCACCAUACUUCUGGUACUCCAAAAAUUCUUAAAAAAAUAGGAAAAAUAAAAAUUUUGUAUAGAAAUAUAGUACAAAAGGUUUCAGAACCGUUUGACAUUCCAGUAAAAAAUUGUAAAAUCAUGCACUACAGCCAAAGUUUUUGUUUUGCACCGCACAAACCAACAAGCAAUUUAAACAUUCUAAAGGCAAAUCUUGGCACAUUAUUUUUAUAAUACAAUGGAAUUGUACAAGGGGAUAAUUAUUUUUGUUGAAAAGUUUCUGCAAUUAAGAUUCACAAAGUUUCCAUGAGCAUGAACAAAGUUCAAGGACGUCCCCCACUUUCACAAUGCUCGUCUCUCUCACUUUCGCUUUUCUUUUUGUGAAGUUUUAAGGUUCCCCCCUAUAUUUUUUUGUUUUAAAACUAUAUAAAAGCGCUCAACAGAAAUAAAUGACUUUCUUAAACUUCCAGGUUGUCUCCCUGGCAGCGCUUUCUUUAAAGCCAUUAAGCUAGGCAUAAAGUGCUCAAGUAAUGGAUCCACCCGGAUCCCAAGGUAUAUCAAAGACAAUUUGAAUCAACAAUGAUUUAGCAUUUAGUAGUGAGCACAAAGCAACAUAUAUCAAGAAAUGACGAAGUAUAACUCUCUUCCUAUGCAUUGGCAUGUCAUACAAGAACAAUUCAUGAACAUCAAGUAAAGGCCAAUACAUAGCAUAAGCAGUUUCUUGCAAUUUUUUCAUGUUGGAAACAUAAAGAGGCGGAGAUGUAGUUGCUCUCUCAUAAUAAUUGCAAGUAAGAGCAGCAAGCACAUGCAUAUUAUAUUCAUCAAAAUCAUCAUGUGCAACGGUAAAAGGCAACCCAUCAAUAUAAUCCUUAACAAGAGCAAACUUCUCCGAUAUAGUGUAGUUGGGAGAAUUCAAAAAGAUAAUAGGACUAUCAUGUGUGGGUGCAAUAGCAAAAAUUUCAUUCUUAAUAUAAGGAACUAUAGCAAGUUCAUCUCCAUAAGCAUAAUUCAUAUUGGCAUCUUGGCCACAAGCAUAGCAAGCAUCAAGUUCAUCAAAAAGGGAUAUUUCAAAUGAAUCAACGGGAUCAUAGCAAUUAUCAUAGCAUUCAUCAUUCGGUAAGAACGAAGGGAAAUUAAACAAUGUAUGAGUUGAAGAGUUACUCUCAUUAGAAUGUGGGCACGGGUGAUCAAUCCGCUCUUCCUCCUUUUGUUCUUCGCUCUCCUCAUCAUCUUUUUCAUCCAAUGAGCUCACAGUUUCAUCAAUUCCUUCUUUCAUAGACUCCUGCAAAAUAUUAGUCUCUUCUUGGACAACGGAGACUCUCUCAAUAAAUUCAUCAAUAUUGGAAUUGAAUUUAUAAUUAUCAUAGCAAUAUUUAAGGAUGGCAAAAUUUUUAGGUCUAUAAACUGAAUCAUCAAAAUCUUCAAACUUUUCAAACAAAGAUUCAAUUUCAUAAGCACCCUUAAAAGCAACAAAUUCUUCUAUUCGUUCCACCUCAUAGUAAUCAUAUGUACCUCUAGCAUAAGAAGCCAAGGUUUCAUUAUCAUUAAAUUCGCAUGAAUAGGGAAGGUGUGGAACCUCAAUCUUAGAGCAACAAGUAUAAUCAUGUCUCAAACAUAGAUUCCAAGCAUACCAUUGCAACAUAUGAAUUUGAUCCCACAACAAUUUCCCUUUAUGAGUCAAGCGAUAAUGCCUAAAGUAUUCGCGUUGAUCCAAUGUUACUCCCAUUAUUAAGUUGAAUGGGGUUUUCUCAGGAUUAUCAAAGUAAUGCAUAAUAUCUUUUACAUAACGAGCAUAGAGGGUUUUAGGAGGUUCCCCAUCUCCAUGAGUAGCAAGUACCACUAUUUUUUUGGUGUUUUUUGUUCCAUAUCCAUAACUAAAGAUAGAGAACAACUUAGAACAAGAAAUAAAAACUACUUAGUGAUAAAGCAAACAAGCACACACGAGAAUAUUCACCCCACGCUAUUGCUCCCUGGCAACGGCGCCAGAAAAAAGGUCUUGAUAACCCACAAGUAUAGGGGAUCAAUUGUAUCCUCUUUCGAUAAGUAAGAGCGUCGAACCGAACUAGCAGCUAAAGGUAGAACAAAUAUUCCCUCAAGUUCUAUCGACCACCGAUACAACUCUACGCACGCUUGACGUCCGCUUUACCUAGAACAAGUAUGAAAAUAGAAGUAUUUUGUAGGUGUGAUAGGAUAGGUUUGCAAGAAAAUAAAGAGCACAUAAAUAAAAUCUAGGGGAUGUUUAGAUAAAGACACAACUAAGUUAGUUUUAGUAGAUAGUUUUUGUCAACAAGAAAGUUAUUUGUCCCUAGGCAAUCGAUAACAAGUACUGGUAAUCAUUCUUGUAAUUUUAUAUGAGGGAGAGGCAUGAGCUAACAUACUUUCUCUACUUGGAUCAUAUGCACUUAUGAUUGGACCCCUAGCAAGCAUCCGCAACUACUAAAGAUCAUUAAGGUCGUGAAACCCAACCAUAGCAUUAAGUAUCAAGUCCUCUUUACUCCCAUAUGCCAUAACCCACCUAUCCGCGUUUGGGCUGCUGUCAUCCCCCGCAACACUGACAAUAAGCAAACCAUGAACAUAUUGCAACACCCUAUAGUGGGGGCCCCUCACGUUUGCGCGAGAUGGAGGGCACCGUAGGACAGCACCAUAAAUAAAAUAUACAAUCAUACCAACCAAGAUCAUGAUUAACCCAUAGGACAAAACGGAUCUACUCAAACAUCAUAGGAUAACCAUAGAUCAUUGGGAAAUAAUAUAUGGAGUCGAGCACCAUGUUUAAGUAGAGAUUACAGCGGGGAGAAGAGGUGUUACACCGCUGCAUAGAGGGGGAGAAAGUUGGUGUUGACGGUAGCAAGAUUGUUGAUGUAGAUCACCGUCCCGAUCGUUGCCCCGGCGGCACUCCGACGCCACCGGAAGCGAGGGGGAGAGAGCCCCCCUCCUUCUUCUUCUUCCUUGCCCCCCGAGAUGGGAGGAGAGUUCCCCCUCUGGUCCAUGGCCUCCAUGGCGCCGGAGGGGUGGGAGCCCCUCCGAGAUUGGAUGUCCCUCUCUGUUCUCUUCUGUUUCACGUUCCGCAGAUCUGGCCGAGAACCGUUUCUUAUAUUCCCGGAGAUCCGUAACUCCGAUUGGCCGAAAACUGUUUCUUAUAUUCCCGGAGAUCCGUAACUCCGAUUCCGUAGAUCUGGCCGAAAACUGUUUCUUCUUCCUUGUGCCCGAAGUAGAGCUCCAACCGACGUUCGAGGAGGGCACAACCCACCACCACGCGCCAGGGGCCUCUGGCUUGCCCUGGUGUCUUGUUGGCUGUGUGGGCCUCCGGUUGCGGUAAUUCCAACUCCCAAAAAUCACAUAUAUUCCAAAAUAAUUCUCCAUGAAAUUUUAUUGCAUUUGGACUUUGUUUGAUAUGGAUACUCUAUGAUACAAAAAACAUGCAGAAAAUAGGAACUGGCACUGGAUCAAUAGGUUAGUCCAAUAGAUCAUAUAAAAAGUUGCCAAAAGUAUGUAAAACUUGUAUAAUAUUGGCAUGAAACAAUAAAAAUUAUAGAUACGACGGAGACGUAUCACUAGCUUGUAGAAGCACCAACCCUAAAGAACCCGGAACUUCGGAAGUCCAGGAUGGAAAUGGGAAGCCACGGCGCAACAGAAACAAGCGUCGCCACAACGGCAGUGAAGCCGAAGACACAACAGUCAAUGCCGGAUUCCGCAACCCCAAGUCGAGACCUUGCAAGAAGCCCUCUAAAGGGAACCAGGAUGGACCCACUAAGUUGGACACAAUCCUGGACCGACCCUGCUAGAUCCACGGCAUGUCUGACAAGCGCACCAACCACACCAACCAUAACUGCUAGGUAAUCAAACAAGCCGACAAAAUCACAGCCAAGGGCGUAGACAAAAGCCCCUGCAGAGAGGACGAUGAAGAACCUCACAGGACAAACAAUGGGGGCCAGAAAAAGUUCCCUCCCGAGGUAAAAACGAUGAAUAUGAUCUACGCCACCCACAUACCCAAGAGGGAGCGGAAGCGCGCACUUGGGACGUCUACACCGUAGAACCUGUAGCCCCGAAAUUUAACCCAUGGUCGGCAUGCCCAAUCACCUUUGACCAUAGGGAUCACUCGACCAGUAUCCGUCAUGGAGGGUUGGCUGUCCUAGUCCUUGAUCCCAUUAUCGAUGGGUACCACCUCACCAGAGUCCUUAUGGACGGAGGCAGCAGCCACAAUCCGAUCUAUGCAGACACGGUGAGGAAAAUGGGUAUUGACCCGUCAAGGAUCAAACCUAGUAACACUACCUUCAAAGGAGUAAUCCCCGGUGUGGAGGCCCGCUGCUCAGGCACCCUUACUUUGGAAGUUGUAUUCGGUUCAUCGGACACUUCCACAGCAAGGACCUGAUCUUCGACAUCGUCCCUUUCCACAGCGGUUAUCAUGCACUUUUGGGCCGGACGAUGUUUGCUCGUUUCAUCGUUGUCCCCCAAUAUGCAUACUUGAAGCUAAAGAUGCCCGGACCUAAGGGCAUCAUUACAGUCAAUGGCAACACGGAACGCUCACUUCGGACUGAAGAGCAUACAGCGGCCUUAGCGGCCGAAGUCCAAACCAAUAUCGAGGGGGCGCACUAUCAGCCUGCCGUCAAGGCACGGGAAGCAAGGAAACGAGCCCGAGCUCUAUCUCCAUUUUAGGACCACCCCUACGCUCCGUGAAAAUAGGGUCACACCCCCAUAGCACGCCCACCCCAUUCUCAUAUUACGUACCUCGUCAGCACAACUUCGCACUAAAAAUACCAUUGGUAGCUGUGGGGGCCAAAUUCACCUAAAAACCAAGUGCUCGGAUCAACAGAAAUACGGUCAUACGUGUCUUUGGAUGUCAAACAGGCACCCUUAUGGACCGACCUGGCAUUAAGCUAGAACAACUCGGCGACGUCUCAAGGCUCCCAGUCAAGGGCCCAUCAACCGACUCUCAACCCCUCUACAGAGUCCUUUCCACCACAGAAGCAAAGGCGCAGACGUGCAGCAGGGCACAGUAGGGAUAUCAAACCACGCUUCAAGGCCUUGUGUAAACCUUUCCUCUGUAAAACUUCUCUUUUUUCUUAUAAAGUGCAUGUAACAGAUGCCUUGGCAGCUCGAAUUGUACGGAUAGACGUAAUGAGCUUUUAUAAAGACAACUCUUCACGGUCCUCCUGCAGUUUUUAUUGCACCUUUAUUUCGCUCUUCGACGCCAUUAUAAACCAGUUCGGCACAAUUUUUUCCUUACGGCAACAAUCGGGUAAUAGACCGGGGGCUCGAACAUAAUACUUGCCCUAUGCCUCAAGUCCGACACUACUCUUACUCUAUGUGUUCGGCAUCUCGGAUAUUGUAAUAUAUGCACUAUUUCUGAAUUAUGUCUUGGGUCAAUAGUUAGGUUGCCCGGCUCCUGUGUUUACCCUCUUACGUUCCGCACGCUUGACUAAGACGAUAAAGGGAGAACCACUGCGAUUGUACCUCCGGCUAACCCGGCUAAGUACCCUAGCGGAGAAAGCCGAAAAGUGAUUGUCAUAAUAAGCGAGAACUAGUCGGCGAUCCGAUGACUAGUGUUAAACUAAACAUCAUUGGCGAUUACAACGUGUAAUACGAAGGAUUUGUGUCCUCGGCCAAGACAAGUGAUACAGGUAUAUACCUCGGAUCUCCUAAGUAUCACAAUGGGGGCUAGUCACCAGCCCCCGCAGUCAAGCUCCUAUGGCUAAGUGGAAGCAAUAAAGCCGCAUAGUCCGAUUGCCUUGUUUCCUUCCGGCACUACCGCCUUCUGAUACGUCCAUUUUGCAUCAUGCUUUUAUGUUGAUAUUUAUUGCAUUAUGGAUGUUAUUACACGUUAACAAUACUUGUGCCUUUGCUCUCUUAUUUUACAAGGUUUACAUGAAGAGGGAGAAUGCCGGCAGCUGGAAUUAUGGACCAGAAAGGAGAAAAUACUAGAGACCUAUUUAGCACAACUCCAAAAGUCCUGAAAAUUUAUGGAGAAUUAUUUUGGAAUAUAAAAAAAAUAUUGGGCGAAGAAAAUACCAGAGGGGACCCACCAGGUGGCCACAAGCCUGGGGGCACGCCCUACCCCCUGGGCGCGCCCCAGGGCUUGUGGGCCCCCUGUCAGGCCACUGGUGCCCCUCUUCUGCUAUAUGGUGUAUUUUGACCUAGAAAAAAAUGGGAAGAUAACUUUCGGGACGAAGCGCCACCGUCUCGAGGCGGAACCUGGGCAGGAGCAAUCUAGAGCUCCGGCAGAGCGAUUCUGCUGGGGAAACUUCCCUCCCGGAGGGGGAAAUCGACACCAUCGUCAUCACCAACGAUCCUCUCAUUGAGAGGGGGUCAAUCUCCAUCAACAUCUUCACCAACACCAUGUCCUCUCAAACCCUAGUUCAUCUCUUGUAUCAGAUCUUUGUCUCAGAACCUCAGAUUGGUACCUGUAGGUUGCUAGUAGUGUUGAUUACUCCUCGUAGUUGAUGCUGGUUGGUUUAUUUGGUGGAAGAUCAUAUGUUCAGAUCCUUAAUGAUAUUUCUUACCCCUCUGAUUAUGAACAUGAAUAUGCUUUGUGAUUAGUUACUUUUGUUCCUGAGGACAUGGGAGAAGUCUUAUUAUAAGUAAUCAUGUGAAUUUGGUAUUCGUUCGAUAUUUUGAUGAGAUGUAUGUUGUCUUUCCUCUAGUGGUGUUAUGUGAACAUCGACUACAUGACACUUCACCAUGUUUUCGGCCUAGGGGAAGGCAUUGGGAAGUAAUAAGUAGAUGAUGGGUUGCUAGAGUGACAGAAGCUUAAACCCUAGUUUAUGUGUUGCUUCGUAAGGGGCUGAUUUGGAUCCACAUGUUUCAUGCUAUGGUUAGAUUUAUCUUAAUUCUUCUUUUGUAGUUGCGGAUUCUUGCGAGAGGGGUUAAUUAUAAGUGGGAGGCUUUUCCAAGUAAGGACAACACCCAAGCACCGGUCCACCCACAUAUCAAAUUAUCAAAGUAACGAACGUGAAUCAUAUGAGCAUGAUGAAAAUUAACUUGACAGUAAUUCCCAUGUGUCCUCGGGAGCACUUUGAUUUAUAUAAGAGUUUGUCCAGGCUUUCCCUUUGCUACAAAAAGGAUUGGGCCACCUUGCUGCACCAUAGUUACACUUGUUACUUGUUACCCGUUACGAAUUAUCUUAUCACAAAACUAUCUGUUAUCGAUAAUUUCAGUGCUUGCAGAAAAUAGCUUGCUGAAAACCGCUUGUCAUUUCCUUCUGCUCCUCGUUGGGUUCGACACUCUUACUUAUCGGAAGGACUACGAUAGAUCCCCUAUACUUGUGGGGCAUCAAGACUCUUUUCUGGCGCCAUUGCCGGCGAGUGAAGCGCCUUUGGUAAGGAAAAUUUUAUAUUGUGUGCUCAAAUUUAUUGUCACUUGUCACUAUGGAAAAUAAUCCUUUGAGGGGCUUGUUCGGGGUAUCUUCACCUCGACCAGAAGCACAAAGAGUUUCCCCUCAACCUACUGAACCUACUGAAAAUAUUUAUUAUGAAAUUCCUUUGGGUAUGAUAGAGAAACUGCUAGCUAAUCCUUAUGCAGGAGAUGGGACACUACAUCCUGAUAUGCAUCUAAUCUAUGUGGAUGAAGUUUGUGGAUUAUUUAAGCUUGCAUGUUUGCCCGAGGAUGAAGUCAAGAAGAAGGUCCUCCCUUUAUCUUUGAAGGGAAAGGCAUUGACAUGGUAUAGGCUAUGUGAUGAUAUUGGAUCUUGGAAUUAUAAUCGAUUGAAAUUGGAAUUUCAUCAGAAGUUUUAUCCUAUGCAUCUAGUUCAUCAUGAUCGGAAUUAUAUAUAUAAUUUUUGGCCUUGUGAAGGAGAAUGUAUCGCUCAAGCUUGGGGGAGGCUUAAGUCAAUUUUAUAUUCAUGCCCCAAUCAUGAGCUCUCAAGAGAAAUUAUUAUUCAGAAUUUUUAUGCUCGGCUUUCUCGUAAUGAUCAGUCCAUGCUCGAUACUUCUUGUAUUGGUUCUUUUAUAAAGAAGACUAUUGAAUUCAAAUGGGAUUUAUUGGAAAGAAUUAAAUGCAACUCUGAAGAUUGGGAGCCCGACGAAGGUAAGGAGUCAGGUUUUACCUUAAGUUUGAUUGUGUUAAAUCUUUUAUGGAUACCGAUGCUUUUCAUGAAUUUAGCACUAAAUAUGGACUUGACUCUGAGAUAGUAGCUUCUUUCUAUGAAUCUUUUGCUACUCAUUGAUGUCUACUACACAACCUUCUUCUUGUAGACGUUGUUGGGCCUCCAAGUGCAGAGGUUUGUAGGACAGUAGCAAAUUUCCCUCAAGUGGAUGACCUAAGGUUUAUCAAUCCGUGGGAGGCGUAGGAUGAAGAUGGUCUCUCUCAAACAACCCUGCAACCAAAUAACAAAGAGUCUCUUGUGUCCCCAACACGCCCAAUACAAUGGUAAAUUGUAUAGGUGCACUAGUUCGGCGAAGAGAUGGUGAUACAAGUGCAAUAUGGAUGAUAGAUAUGAGUAUUUGUAAUCUGAAAAUAUAAAAAAUAGCAAGGUAGCAAGCGAUAAAAGUGAGCGUAAACGGUAUUGCAAUGCUAGGAAACAAGGCCUAGGGUUCAUACUUUCACUAGUGCAAGUUCUCUCAACAAUAAUAACAUAAUUAGAUCAUAUAACAAUCCCUCAACAUGCAACAAAGAGUCAGUCCAAAGUCACUAAUAGCGGAGAACAAACGAAGAGAUUAUUGUAGGGUACAAAACCACCUCAAAGUUAUCCUUUCUGAUCGAUCUAUUCAAGAGUCCGUAGUAAAAUAACAUGAAGCUAUUCUUUCUGUUCGAUCUAUCCUAGAGUUCGUACUAGAAUAACACCUUAAGACACAAAUCAACCAAAACCCUAAUGUCACCUAGAUACUCCAAUGUCACCUCAAGUAUUCGUGGGUAUGAUUAUACGAUAUGCAUCACACAAUCUCAUAUUCAUAUAUUCAACCAACACAAAGAACUUCAAAGAGUGCCCCAAAGUUUCUACCGGAGACUCAAGACGAAAACGUGUGCCAGCCCCUAUGCAUAAGUUCACAAGGUCACUGAACCCACAAGUUGAUCACCAAAACAUACAUCAAGUAGAUCACGUGAAUAUCCCAUUGUCACCACAGAUAAGCACAUGCAAGACAUACAUCAAGUGUUCUCAAAUCCUUAAAGACUCAAUCCGAUAAGAUAACUUCAAAGGGAAAACUCAAUCCAUUAAAAGAGAGUAGAGAGGGAGAACAUCAUAAGAUCCAACUAUAAUAGCAAAGCUCACGGUACAUCAAGAUCGUCCCGAAUCAAGAACACGAGAGAGAGAGAGAGAGAUCAAACACAUAGCUACUGGUACAUACCCUCAGCCCCGAUGGUGAACUACUCCCUCCUCGUCAUGGAGAGCGCCGGGAUGAUGAAGAUGGCCACCAGUGAGGGAUCCCCCUCCAGCAGGGUGCCCGAACAGGGUCCCGGUUGGUUUUUGGUGGCUACAGAGGCUUGCGGUGGCGGAACUCCCGAUCUAGGUUAUGUUCUGGGGGUUUCUGUAUAUAUAAGAGGUUUUGGCGUCAGGAACAAGUCAGGGGGCCUCCGGGCUGUCCACGAGGUAGGGCAUGGGCGCGCCCCCACCCUCGUGGGUAGCCUGGGACUCUUCUGGUCCAUCUCCGAUGCUCUGUGGGCUUCUUCUGGUCCAAAAAUAAUCUCCGUCAAGUUUCAGGUCAAUUGGACUCCGUUUGGUUUUCCUUUUCUGCGGUACUCAAAAACAAGGAAAAACAGAAACUGGCACUGGGCUCUAGGUUAAUAGGUUAGUGCCAAAAAUAAUAUAAAAGUGCAUAUUAAAGCCCAUUAAACAUCCAAAACAGAUAAUAUAAUAGCAUGGAACAAUAAAAAAUUAUAGAUACAUUGGAGACAUAUCAAGCAUCCCCAAGCUUAAUUCCUGCUCGUCCUCGAGUAGGUAAAUGAUAAAAACAUAAAUUUUGAUGUGGAAUGCUACCUAACAUAAUUAUCAAUGUAAUUUUCUUUAUUGUGGCAAGAAUAUUCAGAUCCGAAAGAUUCAAGACAAAAGUUUAAUAUUGAGAUAAACAUAAUAAUACUUCAAGCAUACUAACCAAGCAAUUAUGUCUUCUCAAAAUAACAUAGCCAAAGAAAGCUCAUCCCUACAAAAUCAUAUAGUUUGGCCAUGCUUCAUCUUCGUCACACAAAAUAUUCAAAUCAUGCACAACCCCGGUUUCAGCCAAGCAAUUGUUUCAUACUUUAGCCUUUUCAAACUUUUUCAACUUUCAUGCAAUACUUGAGCGUGAGCCAUGGACAUAGCACUAUGGGUGGAAUAGAAUAUAAUGAUGGGGGUUGUGUGGAGAAGACAAAAAGGAGAAAGUCUCACAUCAACGCGGCUAACCAACGGGCUAGGGAGAUGCCCAUCAAUUGAUGUCAAUGCGAGGAGUAGGGAUUGCCAUGCAACGGAUGCACUAGAGCUAUAAAUGUAUGAAAGCUCAACAAAAGAAACUAAGUGGGUGUGCAUCCAACUUGCUUGCUCACGAAGACCUAGGGCAUUUGAGGAAGCCCAUUGUUGGAAUAUACAAGCCAAGUUCUAUAAUGAAAAAUUCCCGCUAGUAUAUGAAAGUGACAAAUAAGAGACUCUCUAUCAUAAAGAUCAUGGUGCUACUUUGAAGCACAAGUGUGGAAAAAGGAUAGUAGCAUUGUCCCUUUUAUUUUCUUUUUUAUUAUUUUUAUUUGGCCUUUCUUUUUUUUCUUUUUGUCGGGUGGUAGGUGCGACAUAUGCCAACGGGUGGCUUAUCUUUGUGGGAGCCAGUAAAACAUCGCCGGUGCCUGGAAACGGGAUGAGGCGAAGACAUGCACGCCGGCGGAUCUUACCCAGGUUCGGGGCUCUUCGUGGAGAUAACACCCCUAGUCCUGCUCUGUGGGGUCUCCGCAUGAUCACUAGAUCAAUCCAAGUUGCUACAAGCGCUCGUUGAGCUGUUUGGAUAGAGGAAGAGGAAGGGCGAGGCUAGCUCUCCUUUUCUCUCUAGGUGGUGUGUGGAAUUCUAUUAGAUCAACCCUUUGCAUGGGUGCCCUGGGGGGUUUAUAUAGGCCUACCCCCCAGGGGUACAAUGGUAAUCCGGCUGGGCGCGGGUCCCCGCUGUCAAUGUCUAGGCUCGCCGGCUUCUCCGCUAGUCAUUGGGGCCCGCUGACUGGUGGGUCCCGCCGGCUGCCGGCCUCUUGGCCGACAGGCCGGCCCCACCGCUUGGGGGCUUUGUCGGCGGCUGGUUACUGUUGCCUCGCCUCUGAUGACGAGAGCUUUGUUGAGGUAAGCGUGGCUAUAGUGCCGCCGCCUUGCGAGCUCUCACUGUAGCCUUACCUUGUCUUGUCUCCUUAAUGAGGCACAUGUUUUGAGGGAGGGAGGUAGCCGGCUGUUAGGAGCCGGCCACACCCCUGGCCGACUAGAGGAGGCCAGGCUGCCUUUGGAUGUCUCUCUGGUAAAAGGGGCCCGCCGCCUACGGGCCGUACUGGCGCCUGUCGUGGGUGAUAUCGAGGUCAACACGGCUACAGUGCCACGCCGGAUGGGGGAUGGCUGGCCCGUACGGCGCCCUAUAGCCAUGCCUGUUCCGGGAUUCAGGGGCAGUGGGCUGUACUGCGGCCACGCCCCAUCCUAUCGCCGUUAUGUGGGUACAGUUUUUAGUGGGUGCAGUCUUGGCCGGCUUCUGGGAGCCGGCUUUCUUCAUGGCCGGCUUCUGGGAGUCGGCUUUCUUCAUGGCCGGCUUCUGGGAGUCGGCUUUCCUCAUGUCCGGCUUCUGGGAGUCGGCUUUCCUCAUGGCCGGCUUCUGGGAGUCGGCUUUCCUCAUGGCCGGCUUCUGGGAGUCGGCUUUCCUCAUGGCCUGGGGAUAGCCGGCCGGGGGAAGGCGGCCAUAUGCUUUGUAUGCUUGAAGGCUUGAAUGGCCCGAUAAUUUUUCAAAGAGCCAGGGGGAGUAGGUUAGGCUACCCGUGGCCAUUUACUCCGACACUUUUUUUGGCCUUCCUUUUUUUUCCUUUUUUUUCCUUUUUGGGACAAUGCUCUAUUAAUGAUGAUCAUCACACUUCUAUUUAUUUACAACUCAAAGAUUACAACUCGAUACUAGAACAAAGUAUGACUCUAUAUGAAUGCCUCCGGCGGUGUACCGGGAUGGGCAAUGAAACAAGAGUGACAUGUAUGAAAAAUUAUGCAUGGUGGCUUUGCCACAAAUACGAUGUCAACUACAUGAUCAUGCAAGGCAAUACGACAAUGAUGAAGCGUGUCAUAAUAAAUGAAACGGUGGAAAGUUGCAUGGCAAUAUAUCUCGGAAUGGCUAUGGAAAUGCCAUAAUAGGUAGGUAUGGUGGCUGUUUUGAGGAAGAUAUAAGGAGGUUUAUGUGUGAUAGAGCGUAUCAUAUCACGGGGUUUGGAUGCACCGGCGAAGUUUGCACCUAUUCUCAAGGUGAGAAAGGGCAAUGCACGGUACCGAAGAGGCUAGCAAUGAUGGAAAGGUGAGAGUGCGUAUAAUCCAUGGACUCAACAUUAGUCAUAAAGAACUCACAUACUUAUUGCAAAAAUCUACAAGUCAUCAAAACCAAGCACUACAUGCAUGCUCCUAGGGGAAGGGUUGGUAGGAGUUAACCAUCACGCGAUCCCGACCUCCACACAAAGGAUGACAAUCAAAGAAAUACCUCAUGCUUCAAAUUUGUUACACAACGGUUACCAUACGUGCAUGCUACGGGACUUGCAAACCUCAACACAAGUAUUUCUCAAAUUCACAACUACUCCACUAGCAUGACUCUAAUAUCACCAUCCUCAUGUCUCAAAACAAUCAUCAAGUAUCAAACUUCUCAUAGUAUUCAAUGCACUCUAUAUGAAAGUUUUUAUUAUACCCAUCUUGAAUGCCCAUAAUAUUAGGACUAGUUUCAUAACCAAAGCAAAUUACCAUGCUGUUCUAAAGACUCUCAAAAUAAUAUAAGUGAAGCAUGAUAGUUCAUCUAUUUCUUCAAAAUAAAACUACCGUCGUGCUCUAAAAAGAUAUAAGUGAAGCACUAGAGCAAAUGACAAACUACUCCAAAAGAUAUAAGUGAAGAUCAAUGAGUAGUCGAAUAAUUAUGCAACUAUGUUAAGACUCCCUAACAUUUAAGAACUUAAGAUCUUGGUAUUUUAUUCAAACAGCAAGCAAAACAAAAUAAAACAAAAUGACGCUCCAAGCAAAACACAUAUCAUGUGGUGAAUAAAAAUAUAGCUCCAAGUAAAGUUACCGAUGAACGAAGACGAAAGAGGGGAUGCCAUCCGGGCCAUCCCCAAGCUUAGGCUCUUGGUUGUACUUGAAUAUUACCUUGGGGUGCCUUGGGCAUCCCCAAGCUUAGGCUCUUGCCACUCCUUAUUCCAUAGUCCAUCGAAUCUUUACCCAAAACUUGAAAACUUCACAACAGAAAACUCAACAGAAAACUCGUAAGCUCCGUUAGUAUAAGAAAAUAAAUCACCACUUAGGUACUGUUUUGAACUCAUUCUAAAUUCAUAUUGGUGUAAUAUAUACUGUAUUCCAACUUGUAUAUGGUUCACACCCUCCGAUACUACUCAUAGAUUCAUCAAAAUAAGCAAACAACACAUAGAAAACAGAAUCUGUCAAAAACAGAACAGUCUGUAGUAAUCUGUAUCAUUUGAAUACUUAUGUAACUCCAAAAAUUCUGAAAUAAAUUGGUGGACGUGAGGAAUUUGUCUAUUAAGCUUCUUCAAAAAGAAUAUACUCAAAACCACUCUUCUGUAAAAAAUGACAGCUAAUCUCGUGAGCGCAAAGUUUCUGUUUUUUUACAGCAAGAUCACAUUAACUUCCACCCAAGUCUUCCCAAAGGUUCUACUUGGCACUUUAUUAAAACAAAAUCUAUAAAACAUGAUUACUACAGUAGCUUAAUCAUGUGAACACACAAAAACAGUAGGGGUAAAUAUUGGGUUGUCUCCCAACAAGCGCUUUUCUUUAAUGCCUUUCUAGCUAGGCAUGAUGAUUUCAAUGAUGCUCGUAUAAAAGAUAAGAAUUGAAACAUAAAGAGAGCAUCAUGAAACACAUGGCAAACACAUUUAAGCCUAAACCACUUCCUAUGCAUAGGGAUUUUGUGAGCAAACAACUUAUGGGAACAAUAAUCAACUAGCAUAGGGAGGCAAAACAAGCAUAACUUCAAGAUUUUCAACACAUAGAGAGGAAACUUGAUAUUAUUGCAAUUCCUACAAGCAUAUGUUCCUCCCUCAUAAUAAUUUUCAGUAGCAUCAUGAAUGAAUUCAACAAUAUAACCAUCACAUAAAGCAUUCUUUUCAUGAUCUACAAGCAUAGAAAAUUUACUACUCUCCACAUAAGCAAAAUUCUUCUCAUUCAGAAUAGUGGGAGUAUCAUAAGAAACUCAAAUGCUAUAAAUUGUUUCCACAUUAAAAGAGUAAUGUUCAGAAAAAGGGUAAUCAUAAUCAUGACAAGUUUUGUAAAUAUAAUCAUCACUUCUUUUUAUAACAUAAGUAUCAUCACAAUAAUCAUCAUAAAUAGGAGGGAUGCUAUCAUCAUAAUAAAUUUGCUCAUCAAAACUUGGGAGACUAAAAAUAUCAUCUUCAGUAAACAUAGCAUCCCCAAGCUUGGGACAAACAUUAAUUGCAGCAAAUAAAUUCUCAAACAUGUCAUUCUCAUCAAACAUAGCAUCCCCAAGCUUGGGCCUUUUCGUAUCAUAAGCAUAAUCACUCUCAUCAUUAAUAGUAUGGAUAGCACCAAUAGUAUAGUAAUUAUCAUCAUUGCACUGAGUAAUAGGAGCAACAUCAUUUGGGAGGGAUACCUUUUUACCUUUGCUUCUACGUCUUUUCUUUUUCUUCUUCACAUCGUGUGUGGGUUAACCCUCUUUUUGGAGCUCCUUAUUAAUGAGAUUGGUUGGAUAGAAGUCUCCUCCUCGUUACCUGAUUCAUCAUAAGAAAAAAUAGGAGGAUAUUGGGAAAUAUCUUCCCUUUCAUUAGUAUUCUCUUCAUCUUCUAUUUGUUUUCUUGACUUUAUGUAAUUGGCAAUGUAAAGAUUUUCAAUACAAUUCACCGCACAAUACAUAUAAAUUUCCUCUAGAUCAAAAUCAAGAACUUUAUCAAGGACAAAUUCUGGAAGAUCCUUAGUUAAACGUUUCAUUUCUUCAUAACCCACAAGCAAACUAAGUUCAUUAUGAUGUGCAAGGGAAAUAAAGUCAUCACAAUUUUUGGACACGAUACGAUCAUGAAACAAUUUGCAUUGGGUAUUUAGAUGAUCACGUUCAUUGCAAAGUUCACAAGGAUGGCAAAGAAAUUUUAAAUUUUCAGCACAAGCAUCUAGCCUCUCUUGUAGCCAUUUAGUUUCUAAAUACUUAUGCCUCUUGCAAAAUCUAUCUUCCCUAUUCGGUGUGUACUUGCAAACUCUAUGCACUCCACAAAAGUUGACAUGCUUAUAAGAGACAUUUUCAUCAUGACUAGUGCAAUCAUCAUUAGUACUAUGGAUAUUCAAAGAGUUCAUACUAACAACAUUGCAAUCAUGCUCCUCAUUCAAAUAUUUAGUGCCAAACAUUUUAAUGCAUUCUUCUUCUAACACUUUGGCACAAUUAUCGGAAUCCUUAUUUUCACGAAAGACAUUAAAAAGAUGAAGCAUAUGAGGCACCCUCAAUUCCAUUUUUUUAUUUUUCUUUUAUAGACUAAACUAGUGAUAAAACAAGAAACUAAAAGAUUCGAUUGCAAGAUCUAAAGAUAUACCUUCAAGCACUCACAUCCCCGACAACGGCGCCAGAAAUUAGCUUGAUGUCUACUACACAACCUUCUUCUUGUAGACGUUGUUGGGCCUCCAAGUGCAGAGGUUUGUAGGACAGUAGCAAAUUUCCCUCAAGUGGAUGACCUAAGGUUUAUCAAUCCGUGGGAGCCGUAGGAUGAAGAUGGUCUCUCUCAAACAACCCUGCAACCAAAUAACAAAGAGUCUCUUGUGUCCCCAACACACCCAAUACAAUGGUAAAUUGUAUAGGUGCACUAGUUCGGCGAAGAGAUGGUGAUACAAGUGCAAUAUGGAUGAUAGAUAUGAGUAUUUGUAAUCUGAAAAUAUAAAAACAGCAAGGUAGCAAGCGAUAAAAUUGAGUGUAAACGGUAUUGCAAUGCUAGGAAACAAGGCCUAGGGUUCAUACUUUCACUAGUGCAAGUUCUCUCAACAAUAAUAACAUAAUUAGAUCAUAUAACAAUCCCUCAACAUGCAACAAAGAGUCACUCCAAAGUCACUAAUAGCGAAGAACAAACGAAGAGAUUAUUGUAGGGUAUGAAACCACCUCAAAGUUAUCAUUUCUGAUCGAUCUAUUCAAGAGUCCGUAGUAAAAUAACAUGAAGCUAUUCUUUCUGUUCGAUCUAUCCUAGAGUUCGUACUAGAAUAACACCUUAAGACACAAAUCAACCAAAACCCUAAUGUCACCUAGAUACUCCAAUGUCACCUCAAGUAUCCGUGAGUAUGAUUAUACGAUAUGCAUCACACAAUCUCAUAUUCAUCUAUUCAACCAACACAAAGAACUUCAAAGAGUGCCCCAAAGUUUUUACCGGAGAGUCAAGACGAAAACGUGUGCCAACCCCUAUGCAUAAGUUCACAAGGUCACUGAACCCGUAAUUUGAUCACCAAAACAUACAUCAAGUAGAUCACGUGAAUAUCCCAUUGUCACCACAGAUAAGCACAUGCAAGACAUACAUCAAGUGUUCUCAAAUCCUUAAGGACUCAAUCUGAUAAGAUAACUUCAAAGGGAAAACUCAAUCCAUUAAAAGAGAGUAGAGAGGGAGAACAUCAUAAGAUCCAACUAUAAUAGCAAAGCUCGCGGUACAUCAAGAUCGUGCCGAAUCAAGAACACGAGAGAGAGAGAGAGAUCAAACACAUAGCUACUGGUACAUACCCUCAGCCCCGAGGGUGAACUACUCCCUCCUUGUCAUGGAGAGCGCCGGGAUGAUGAAGAUGGCCACCAGUGAGGGAUCCCCCCUCCGGCAGGGUGCCGGAACAGGGUCCCGGUUGGUUUUUGGUGGCUACAGAGGCUUGCGGUGGCGGAACUCCCGGUCUAGGUUAUGUUCUGGGGGUUUCUGUAUAUAUAAGAGGUUUUGGCGUCGGGAACAAGUCAGGGGGGUCUCCGGGCUGUCCACGAGGUAGGGGGCGCGCCCCCACCCUCGUGGGCAGCCCGGGACUCUUCUGCUCCAUCUCCGAUGCUCCGUGGGCUUCUUCUGGUCCAAAAAUAAUCUCCGUCAAGUUUCGGGUCAAUUGGACUCCGUUUGGUUUUCCUUUUCUGCGAUACUCAAAAACAAGGAAAAAACAGAAACUGGCACUGGGCUCUAGGUUAAUAGGUUAGUCCCAAAAAUAAUAUAAAAGUGCAUAUUAAAGCCAAUUAAACAUCCAAAACAGAUAAUAUAAUAGCAUGGAACAAUAAAAAAUUAUAGAUACGUUGGAGACGUAUCACUCAUGUUGAUCUCCUAAGGAGAAGUGGUUUAAAUAUCAUCCUCCAUUGAAGUUUAAGUAGUAGAACCUAUUAAAGCUGAAGAAGAAAUUAUUACUUAUAAUGUUGAUCCAGUUGUUCCUACUGCUUAUAUUGAGAAUCCACCUUUCCCUAUUAGAGUAAAGGAACAUGCUAAAGCUUCAGUUGUGGUUCGUAAGAGUUAUACUAGAACACCCACACCCCCUGAACAAAUUAAAGUUGAACCUAGUAUUUCUAUGGUUAAAGAUCUCUUGGUCGAUAAUAUUGAUGGGCAUGUUAUUUAUUUCUGUGAUGAAGGUGCUAGAAUUGCUAAACCCGAUGAAAAGGAUGAACAUAGACCUGUUGUUGGCAUGCCUGUUGUUUCUAUUAAAAUAGGAGAUCAUUGUUAUCGUGGCUUAUGUGAUUUGGGUGCUAGUGUGAGUACAAUUCCUUUUACCUUAUAUCAAGAAAUUAUGAAUGAUAUUGCACCUACUGAAAUAGAAGAUAUUGAUGUCACUAUUAAGCUUGCUAACAGAGAUACUAUAUCACCAAUUGGGAUUGUUAGAGAUGUUGAAGUCCUAUGUGGGAAAAUAAAAUAUUCUACUGAUUUUCUUGUUCUUGGUUCCCCACAAGAUGAUUUUUGUCCCAUUAUAUUUGGUAGACCUUUCUUGAACACUGUCAAUGCUAAGAUAGAUUGUAAGAAAGAAACUGUUAUUGUAAAUUUCGGGGAUGUGUCUCAUGAGUUUAAUUUCUCUAAAUUUCGUAGACAACCUCAUGAUAAAGAAUUGCCUAUUAGAGAUGAAAUUAUUGGUCUUGCUUCUAUUGCUAUGCCUCCUACCGAUCCUUUAGAACAAUAUUUGCUAGACCAUGAAAAUGACAUGUUCAUGAAUGAAAGAAAUGAAAUAGAUGAAAUAUUCUUUAAACAAAUGCCUGUUCUGAAACACAACUUGCCUGUUGAGACUCUUGGAGAUCCUUUACCACCCAAGAGUGAUCCCA